GGGUCUGUCAAGAGUUGGGAGGGUGCUGGCAAACAGUGACUCACAGAUACUCCUUGUCCGCUGCUCUCUUUCCUUUCGUCUUUUCAUGUAGGACAGUCUCUCAGACCAUUUGAGGCUGGAUAAUGCUUUGUUGUGAGGGGCUGUGCUGUGCAUUGUAGGGUGUUUAGCAGCUUCCCUGGCCUUCACCCGCUAAGUGCCAGUAGCACCCCCGCAUUCUUGCUCCCCACAGUUGUUAAUCACCAAAAAUGUCUCAAGACAUUGCAGCCCGUCUCCUGGGGAGGGCUGGGCAGGUAAAAUCUGUCCUAUUAGGAAGCACUGCUUUAGUAUACCAAAGCAGCUAGCAUUUAUUGAUUUGGAAUAGAUAUAGUUGAAAUGUGAUGUUCUUUAUCCUAAAGAGUUUUUGUUUUAAAUCUGGGUAUAAACCUCAUGAUUUAUUUUCCUUCUGUUAAUUGAGUGUAGUAGGUGGUUUUACAUAAUCUGUAUGUACAUGGAAUUGAAUUUGUGUGGCUCAUAGAAGGAUGAAAAGUAUACACGACCAAGUGAUAAAAGAGGCCGACUAUACAUAUUUUUUUCUCAUAAUUUUGAAGUGAAUAAAAUGCUAAUUAAAAACAACUGGUUAUUUGUUUUCUGAUCUAUAAGUGGAGGAAAAAAAUCUGAGUUUUUAUUCCAAUUGAUAUAUGUUACAUAGUCGAUUUAUUACAGUGUUUCUUUAAUUAAAUAAAUUCCUUAAUAUAUAGUCUUAUUUUCUAUAAAAUAUAUUUACAUGAAGCAUUUCAUAUGGGGCUACUGGCUGUACCUGUUGAUCAUGAGUUUGGACCACCUGGCAUAUAAAUGAGUCUUGAUUUCCAUUUUUCCUGAAAACCCACUUUUGGAAGAAAAAGGAAUGGCUUCAUGGAAGCAUGUGUGAUAUUUAUAUGCAAUGUAAACAUAGAUCACCUUUGUUAAUGUUUUUAUUUUUAAAAAGCUCCUAUUUCUGAAGCAGUGCCAUUGAAAGAAUUUGUUAGGAGGUGCCAAUUGAAACGAUCUUGUAUUAAUGAGGGAUGAGUAGAUAAGAAAAUAUCAAACACCAUGGAAACAAGAAAGAUUAAUAUUUAGUAGAUAAGCCAAAGCUAGAAAAAGAGAAAUAAACUAAACAUUUUUAGGUGGAAGGAACAUUUUAUGAGGAAAACAAAGGAAAUCCAACUUUACGAAGAUUCUGAGGAAAGGAAGAGGUAAAAUAACAACAGAAUCUUAAGAGGUCAAGGAAGUAGGAGAAACAUUUUAUACUCCAAAAAUAUGUGGUGAAGAACGAUACCAAAACAGAUGUUUUUAAGCAUGUGAUGAGUGCCAGAAAUGUUCUGGUAUUUAGAUGUGGUCCUUAUAAUUUUGUCUAUUUGUUAACAUUUCUUUUUUUUCCUUCCUCUUUUUUAAAAUCUUGGGUUCGUGUUAAUACAGUGGCUGACAUUUUAAAAAAUGUAUAGAAAUCUUGCUUUGAUUACUCAUGCUUCAUGUUGUGAUAGAAUGAAAAUUUGCAGCUGUUGAGAGAAAAGUAUCUCUUCUUUAAUCUUUAGCCACUGCCAUCUCCUCCCAUUUUAGCCUUUUAUGUUUUACUUUUAUACCUAGAUUUUACUUCCAAGUUAUUUAGAUUAUUAAUCUUUUGAUAAUUGUCAUCUAAGUCUGUGUUUAAAAAUAUUACCCACAGUACUAAAAGUAGGGCAGAUUGGGUUUAGGUCUUGACCCUCUGUAUUUUAUAAUCUGGGAAAAAUAUAUUCUCAGGGCCUCAGUUUACUCAUUAGAAACUGAGUAAAUUGGCUUCAAGCAGGAGCUCUGUUGAAUUAGAAAAUAUACUUUGUUCAUAACAAUAGAAAUUAUUCUGGCUAAGAUAAAACAGACAAAAGUAAGAGAAAUUAUUAUAGGCUAGCCCUCAGAAUCAGAGAAAAGUUGAGUAACCAGGUUUUGAGAGAGAGGAGGACUGGAGUAUCAACAGCGGUGCACAUGGAUAUUUUUUCAAGAGUGUUAGAUAGUGACUUUCCUCCAACCAGCUUCUAUCUCUUUUAAAGGUUUACAUUUUCAAGAGAGAGACUCUGAUAGGUCUCCCCUGGGUCACUGAACUAUGACCAAGGGAGAUGGGCAAACUAAGAGCAGACAUAUUUAUUGUGAGCAGAUCAACCACACCAUGUUGCCUUUCAGACUCUCAAACUCUCGUCUCGGCCAGCUGUACCCGGCCACUCCUGCUGCUUGGUUUGCUCUGUUGGCACCUUCUACCUUGGCGCCCCCCAUCUACCUCUUCCGCCCCUUACUCCUGCUCCCUCUCAAACUCUCAUCCCUGCCAGCUGUGCCAGGCCACUGCUGCUGCUGGGUCUGCUCUGUUGGUACCUUCUACCUUGGAGCUCCAGCCAGUUGUGAACUCAGCCCUUUACAUAUUUAACCUUUUCUUCAGAUACCCCUCCCACUUCCUGGCUUUAACUGAAUCUGAUUUUCAAUGAUUGCACUCUUUUGUUAUUUUUUCCAUCUUAUGUUUGUGGAACAUAUUUCAGUGACUCGGUACCUACCCCCGAGUCUCUUUCUCCCUGACCCCGUAGCAUCUAUAGCUUGUAGUACUUUAACUCUUUCAGUUUCUUUGCCACUUUUCCCACUGAUAUGGUGCUCCUUACAGCCCAUUUUCACUUGGAAAUGAGAAUUAUCUCCAGUUCAUUCUAUUUUUGGAUAUACUUCCUUAUCUCUUAUCAAGAUAUCCAACCCAUUAGCCUGUCUCUGUUUGCCACGGUUAUUGGCCCACUUGGCCUCUCCAGGUAUAUCUUAAUUCCACUCCAGAUUCUCUUUCUCUGGGCUCUAUGGAUAUCCUUCUUCCUGCGUCUCUGGCUCUGGGCCCUUCCUGACCCUGGUGGACUUUUUUUUUUUUUUUUUUUUUUUGGUCUUUAUUACUCACCCCAUUGCCCCUUAAGAAUGCCAGUAAAUGUCAUGGUACUUGGCAGACACUGGCCUGAAAUGACAGUGGUUUGUGUACCCUGAGAUUUUUGAUGCUGCAGUAUUGGUAAUGAAAGUUCAUCUUUGAUUGGAGUUGGGAAAGUGGGACCUAGAAGGGUAGGUGUGGUUAUUCAUUGCUAGGAUUUAAGCUCUUUGCCUUUUGGCUGUCUUGUUUCUUCCCUCCACCACAAUCAUUCUCUCUGCCCACAUUCUGGGGGCAGAACAGGGAUAUCCCUUUGCUGGUGGUCGUGGCAGCUGGGAAACAGGACCUCUUAGUUUUCCAUGCAUGUCUAUAUCCAGGCUAAGUCAAAUGAGGAUGGCAAGUGCGUGCUACUGUUGUGUAAUCUCUAUUUGUGUAGUGUUUAUUCAUGUAUGUAUUUGCUCUUAGAAUAAUACUCAGAGGUAUUUCUCUGAUUAUGUAAUGUGUGUGUGUGUGUGUGUGUGUGUGUGUGUGUGUGUGUGUGUUUAAAUUAAAAGUCCUGUUUUACUUCUGGCCAUUCUGUUGCACAGGCAUAGGGCUUUUAGCAAUUUAUUCACCCAUCCAUUUAUUCAGCAAAUAUUUAUUCAGCACCUUCCAUGGCCAGGCAUCACGCCAGGUAUUGGAUAUUCUGCUGUGAACAAACACAUCCACAUGGAGCUAAAUGUCUAGUGAGUAGGCAAACAAGAAAGAAUCAUGGGAUAUACAUUCAACUGCGCAUUGUGGAAAGUGCUAAGAGGAAGGGGGCACAGAGUUUAGACAAGGUACAAGGAAGGACCUCUAAAAAAGUGGUGCAAGAGCUGUGAGCUGGAGAGGAGAGAGGAGUUGACCAAAAAAGCAGAGAUCCAGGGGUCUUGUGGGUCUGGCUGGAAAAUUUGGAUUUUUAUAUAAGUGGAAAUAUUGAAGGGUGUGAAGCAGAGGGAGUGACAUGAUGUGACUGAGAAUUCAAGUCAGUUUAUGUGUUCGUUUACUUUUUUAUGAUAUGGGACAACUAUUUUGCUCUUACUUAACCAGUAAAUAGUAUGAUGGUGGUGGUGGUGACGGUGUGGAUACUGGUGCCUAAUAGGAAAUAUUUUGUUAGCUGCAUGUUUUAAAUUUAGCAACAUUACUAUGGAAAACUCUUCAUAAUGGUUUUCCCUUCUCAGAUUAUGCUUUAUUGAAAUGUCCUUUUUUGGGUAUUUUACUUUUAAAAAGUAACUGAAAAUCACUUUAUUCCAGCUGGCCUAUUUCCGAAUGGAAAAUAUUAGUGGUCUUUGAUAGUUUAGAGAAACAUGAGGGCCAUUUAAUGUCAUUGCUACAACCAGGCUGCUCUUCACCGUGUUUGGGCUGCUGUGGCUCUACUGGUUGAUAAAAUAUUGAAACACUUUCUUAUCAGUUGAUGAAUAAUACAACAGUAACCGUGAGAAGUGGUAAAACUAACAAUAUAAUUUUCAACAUAAACUCAUUCACCCUAGCUGAUUUUGUAGGAUGUGCUGGGGUCCACUUUGGAAGCGCUCACUGUCUGUCUGCCGAGCCUGUGUCUCAUGGCAGUGAGUGGCGUUGAUCUCCUGCACGUUCAUGAUGGAGCUGGGGCCUCGGUGCUUCGGGAGAGUCAUCAGCUUAUCAUCAGCCUCAGACUUUCGCAUUGCUCCCGCUUUUAAAUAACUGAGUUUUAAAUAGGUCUUUCUUUGGUUUCUUUCAUUGUUACUGCAUUAUAACUCUUGGAUUAGUUGUGUGUGGUGUUUCAUACUUAGAAGUUCAAUAAUUAAUUUGUUGAGUAUUUUAUUUUAAAUAAAGAGGCAAUGAAGUUUGGGAAGGUUUUCUUUUUUUAGAUGUCAUAAACAUGAAUAUUCUGAAUCUCUGAGAGAAGAAAAAAAUAACAGUAAUAAAACACAGUUAAGAAUAUCUUUAAUACUAUGCAGGAAUAUAAACCUGAAACAAAUGAUUUGUAGGUCUAGAAUCAAGAACAAUUUGAUUAUUUCAACAAAAAAUAAUAAACAUAAAUCAGUUUCCAAAAAAUUGAAAUAACAACAUCCAAAAACAUUUUAUCUGAGAUUUUUGACAAGGCAAAGGAAAAAAAAUUUACGAAGUAUCAAUAUAAUAUACUGUAUAGUUUAAAAUAAUUUUCUGACAUAAAGUAUUUAUUAGGACUUCAAGAAUUGUUUUUAUGUGAAUGUAGCAUGGAAGUUUGGGUUUAUGGUCCUGAUCGUUGCAAAACAUUUAUCUACUGAGAUGCAAAAAUGCAUUUUGGAGAACUUAUAAAUCAGGGCAGUAAAAUUUCAGUCAUUAUUGACAUAGCUCCAACAAUUUCACAUAGAAAUGUUUUAAUAAUUUACUUAAAAUGCAAUAUUCAAGACUUCAAAGACAGUGUGAUGGUUUUUAUUGAUUUCAUGAAGCUGGAAGGAACAACAUCUGAAAUAUAUUAAACUUUAUUAGUCAUACUCAAGAAAAAUGGUUUCAAUGAGAAAUACUUACAUGAAAACCUUGUGAAUGUUUCACAGAUGGUGCAAGUAUAGUAUUAGGGAGAAAAAGUUGUCUUAGCUGAAAUUCUAGAAAAACUUCUAGGUGUUUUCAUUUGAUGCUGUCUCACUUAUAUUUGGUUAUCUCUGGAUGAUGCAAUAGGAAGAUAAGCCAAGUAAACCACUUAACUUUUUUUUGGAAAUUUUACAUUUCUCUUGUAUCAAAUAAAUACUAGAGAAUUAAAUAACAUAUUUGAGACCUUGGAAUUGAGAUGACUGUUUGGACCUUUAACGGUCAGCCGAAGAUGGGAAUAUUCAUGUUAAUGGACAUUGUUAAAAUAGCAUUUGGACAAUUUUUUUUAGCAGUUUGGCUCUAUUACAUGAUAUACUAACCAAUGUGAAUUUUUCCAUGGUUUUAGAAAAAAGAAAAAUUUUAAUUAUUAAAAUGGACAGAUUUAUUUGGCAAAUACUAAGUGAUAGAAUAUAUAAACCAAAUACAGGAAACUGUGAUGGAGAAGAAGGUAUUAGAGGAACAAACAAAUUUGAAAUGAAACAAAAUAUUAAUUCCAAGGGAAAAACUCUUACAUUGCCUGGCAAAUUAAAAGAAAAUGCACUUAUUUGGUGACAAAUCUAAGGAAUACAAUUAAAUUUUAAUAACAUCCUUUUAAUUUAUUGAUUCUGAGAACUUGGCUAAUUGUUGUUUUCAAAGCACCAUAGAUUGAAGGCAAACAAAAUUUUGUAUAAUUAAGCCAGAAAUUAAACAGAACAAUCCAAUAAAUAAGGGAUUUUCAUAAGGCUUGGAUGGUAAUAGAAAUAGUGAAUAUAAAAUCUCAGUAUUAUUAGGGCUGAAAAAAUAGAAUUUAACUAAUAUUAGUUCAAUAGAAGGUAAUGGAAUAUUUACUAUGAGCAGUAUUAUGUGAUGGGAAAAUCUGUAUAUAUUAAGACUUGGUUUGCUCAUUGUCCUUAAAUUAAAUGGGGGAAAUUAUUGGAAGAAUUUGGUUUCGUAUAUCAAUCACAGCUCAUAUAUUGCUUAGCUUGUGACAGAUACAUCAAAUAAAAAGAUCAUACCAGUAAUUUGUAACAAUUAACAGAUGACUUGGAAAUGAGUCACAUGAUUUGAUGAAUGGUUGCUGUUAGAACUUACUUCACCUGGGAUACGGUUUCAUAAAAUGUGUAAUUCAUAUUAUUUAGAGAACAAAUGGAAUAUUUUACAAUUUUUUAUUUAUAUGGCUUUUUUUUUAUUAAAAGGCUGGUUGUUAAAUAAUAUCACUCCUGACAUGAAUAACUUUAAUAAGUAUAUCUGUGAUUAGGUGAUUAUCCUAUUAUAUGUUUUACAUAGAGUGAGUUUUAGAUCAAGAAUUGGCUGUUACUAACCCUCUAUUACAUUUCCAUUAAUUUUGACUAAUCAGUACUUUUCUGUAAAAUUUGAUUAAUCAAUACUUUUAUGUUUUUAUGUAGUUCUUUUGGUAAUUCUGUCGUUGCAAAUAAUGUAAGUAUAGUAAUUUGUGAGCUGUUCUUUUUCCUUCUUAUUUUUGGUUUAGUUUUUCACGUCUGUUACUCACAAAGCAAACAUUAGGCUCUCUUAUUUAAAUACAUUUUCUUUCAAACCACCUAAGUAAAAUGUUGAGCUUUUUGCUGCUGUAUUUAAGCCAGGCAGUGUUACUUUCACUGAUUUAAGAUCUGAAGCAGCAUACCUACUUAUCAUCAUUUCUUUAUACAGAUUUGUGUAAGAGUGUUUAAAGUAGGGUUUAAGAUACAGUAUGUUUAAAAUUAAAAUUUGAGGUAUGAUUUUCAGUGUCCACUGAAUACUUCAAGAAAGUAGAAGAGUUGCUUCAUUAUAUCACAGUUUUGUUAGUUUCAGCAAUUAAUCUAGUUUGACAUUAGCAUUUUUGUUUUUCUGUAAUCUUUUUUUUUCUAGCAUAUGUAGUUUCAUCUUUUCAAGCACCAGCAACUAAUUUUGUGUGUAUGUAUUGAUACUUAACAUAAAUUGCUGCUUUGCUGUGUGGUCUGGGUAGAAUUAUUCAUUGUUUUCUAGCAAAAAGGGACAUUUGUCUCUUUUUUCCUGCAUGUAUUAUGUGGUUGGGAGAAUAAUUUCUGUCCCCGUUCUCCCAAGAUGCUCAUACAUUAAUCACUGGAAUCUGUGAAUAUAUUACCUUACAUGGCAAAAGGGAUUUUGCAGGUGGAAUUAAGGUCAUGAGACUUAAAAUAGGGAGAUUAUCCUGGAUUAUCUGGGUGGGCCCACUGUAAUCACAAGCAUCCUUAAUAGUGAAAGGGGAAUGGAGAAGACUCAUGAGAUGUGAGGGAAGAAGGAGCAGGAGAGAUUUGGAGCGUGAGAGGGACUCCACCUGCUGCUUCUGGAUCUGAAGAAGAGGGGACUAUGAGCCAAGGAGUGCAGGUGGCUUCUAGAAGCUGAGAACAGCCCUGGCAGCUGUCCAGCAAGGAAACAAGGGCUUCAGUCCUGUAAUCACAUGGAACUCAAUCCUGCCAGGUCUCUGAAUGUCCCUGAAAACAGAUUAUUCCCUAGAACCUCCAUAGAUGCUGCCCUGUCAGCCCCUUGAUUUUGGCCUUGUAAGACUCAGGCAGAGAAAUCAGCCAAGCCUGUUGAACUUCUGGCAAACAGAUCUGUGAGAUAAUACAUUAGUAUUGUUUUUAGCUGCUAAGUUUUGUGGUAAUUUGUUAUAACCACAAGAGAAAACUUAUACAUACUAUUUUAUGGAAAAUCAAAUGCAAAAUACCUCACAUUACUGAGCAGCUCUUAAUCUCGUGGUGGGGGAAAUGAAAGGUUGGGGAAGAGAUGAAAGAAUUGAGAGGCAGCGAAUGAGGUUUUUUGUUUCUUUUAAAAUUCUUUUGGAUGGAGAGCAUUAGAGCAGGAAAGCUUGACUCUAGCACUCAGUAACUUAAUUAUCUGUGUAAUUAUCUGCAUUACUGAUAUACAGUAAUUAUAAUUUUGACUUGAUGCAUGUAUUCGUUGGAAAAAUAAUUUAAUUUGUGUUGUCCUUAAAGCAUAAUUUUAUUAGAGUUGCUUUUAACAUGUCAGUGUGGAAAGAAUAGUUCUAUCUGCAUUUAUAAUUAUGCUUCUACUCAAACUUAUUUGAAUUAUGACCCUGAUUCAGGCACUUGCAGCCCAUCUUUUCAUGGAGGAAAGGAAUCUUCUGCUGCAAAUUAAAAAAACAAACAUGGAGCAUUAAAGUUGGAAGGAACUUUAUUCAAACUGACUGCUCAUUCAACAAAUGAAGGAGUUAAGUUCAAGGAAGCUCAGUAUGUUGACCUAAGUCACUAAGCCAGGUGCGCUACCCAGGACCCAAGAAUGUUGGUCUGUUGCUGCAGAUGGCAGGUGGAAAAUAUUCUGAAGGAUAAGACCAAAGCUGGGUUCUGCUCCUCAUUUUUCCACGUUUCUGUGGUGUGAAUUGGGAAAUUUAUUCAUCUCCAAACUAGAAUGCUGCAACCCUAAAAUAAGUGAAUAUGAUAUUUGCCAAUAAAAAUGGAAGUUGCUUUGUAGACCUACAAGGGACAAGUUUGUACAUUAUAUAAGUAUCAGUGUUAGGAUAAGCUGUCAGUCUAAAAUCAGGUGCUGUGUAGAAAGAGCCUGUUCUACAAAAGCAAAAAUAAUGGAGGCUUGACUUUUAAGUAGUUUGGUUGUAGGGGUAGUUAUGACCGCUUGUAGUAGAGAAUAUAUCAGGAUAAGUUCUGUAGAGGUGAAAAGAAGUCACAGACUUCAGGGGAGGAUCAUUGAGGUACCAGUGGCUGACUUGGAAUGGUUGUGGCCUGUUUUGUUACACCUUUUGCUUUUCACGUUAAAAGUGCGUGAUUGGCCUUAACUUUUCUGAAAAAGUACUUUAUCCUCUUUGAAGUCCUCCCAUUGCUGACUGAUUCACAGAGAUACCUAUUUAUAAGCUCUUUGUUGAUCAUAACCGUGUUCCAGGGGAGGCAUGAAUGAGUGGCUUCAGGAAGCUUUGGUUUUGUUUUAUUGAAGUUAGAGGUGAUGGAGGACAGCCUAGGUUUGGGAGCUCUCAGAUAGGCAGCUCCCUUCUGGUUCACACUGUGCUCAUUCUGCUGCCAGGUGAGCCCUGCAGGAUCGCCAUGCUCUUCUCUGUGCUCCGCAGGUGGCCGCGUUUUCUCUGGCCUCUGGACCUUGGCAGGGGGCGUUGUCAUUGCCUAGGAUGUUCUUCAGCCUGGUGUACUAGCCCUCAAUAUCAGUAUUCGGAAAAGUUGGCCCAGCUGCCAUUUCCUCCUUGGACGUCUCCCCUCACUCCCAGCCUCAGUGAGAAGUCUUUCUGUGAACUCCUAGAGUGCCUCUUGUAAAUCCCCACAAGUGCUCUGACGCUGCAUUGGAGUUGGCUGACUUCUCGUGUCUUCCUGGACGGCAGGCUCCUUGAAGGCAGAUACUAUCUUUCAUUUCUGUACUCCCAUUGCCAAGCAUACUUUGUUGAAUGAGUAACCAAAUAGUGUGACCUGCUUUGGGACAGUCACUGGUUCUAAUGGGUCAAUAACUAAUGGAUUGGUAUUCUGCAAACCCACAGGCACAUGCAUAGAUAGUUUAUGUAUCAGGUAUGCUUGGUAAAUUUUGUUCAGGUUAGUUCUGGAAUCUUGGGAUUAUACUAUGAAUAUUGCUUUCUAUCCUUUUUUCCGUCUCUUAUGUUACGACAUUUCCCUGUAUCAUAAAAUGACCAUUGAAAACUUGGUUUUUAGCCACUGCAUAGUAUUUCAUUAUGUUAAUGUAUUCAGUGUGUUAACAUUAAAAUUUAACCCUUCUAUUGUCGUUUCUAAAUUUUUCUAUUAUAAAUAGCAUCAUGAUAAGCAGCUUUGCAUAAAAACUUGUGUGUAUCUCUGGUCUUUUUUCCUUCUCAUUUCAGGCAUAGCAUUUGUUUUUGAGAGUUUUAAGAUGUAAUGGUUGAUUAUAUAUUUUUUAAAUUAUGAAAAGCAGAACUGAGUGAAAGUGUGGGCUUUCAAAUGUAGAUUUUUUGAAUGUUUAGUUUCCCUGUUUAAUAUCUGUAGGCUCUUGGGCAAAAGAUGCCUUUUUGUGGCUCAUCUUUCACUUUAUAAAAUAGGGAUUUAGGCUGGGCGCAGUGGCUCAUGUCUGUAAUCCCAGCACUUUAGAAGGCUGAGACAGGUGGAUCACCUGAGGUCAGGAGUUCGAGACCAGCCUGACCAAUAUGGUGAAACCCCGUCUCUACUAAAAAUAUAAAAAUCAGCCGGGUAUGGUGGCCUGUGCCUGUAGUCCCAGCUACUGGGGAAGCUGAGACAGGAGACAGCUUGAUCCCGGGUGGUGGAGGUUGCAGUGAGUCAAGAUCUCGCCACUGCACUCCAGCCUGGGUGACAGAACGAAACUCUGUCUCAAAGAAAAUAAAAUAAAAUAGGGAUUUAUAUCAGUCAGUUGAGACCAGGUUAUUGUACAGUAACAACUCUGAAAUCUCAGUGAGUUGACAGCAAUAAAGCAUGUUUACUACUCAGUUUUUGUCCAUCGUGGGUUAACUUGGGGGCUGUGUUCCUUGUGGAAAUUCAGGAAGCCACACUGAUGGAGGUUCCAUCUUGAUGUAUACUUCAAAGAUUAUGUAGAACGAGUUAAGAGAGAGAACAUAGCUCUUCAAGCUUCCGCCUGGAAGUGACAUGCUUUUGUUGCACUGGCUAAAGCAACUUCCAUGGCUCUCUGCCUGAUUUCACAGGUUGGGAAUGUAUAAUCCUUAAGUCCCUGCUGGUAGUAAUAAAGUCUGCCUCCAGCUAGUGACUCAGGAUGGGAAACACCUGGAACGCAUCAUAUGCCUACUACGUGGUAGCAGUUGAUUAAUGUUAGCUAAUAUUAAUGCUGGUUUCUCUGGGAAGUAUUAAUGACCUGUUAUAAAAGUUAUACAUAGGUGUAGGAUAUGAUGAAACCUAACAUUUGUACUUACUUAUUGGCAGUUUAAUUAUAUAAAAAACUUAGCUAAAAUGCAUUGAUAGAUUAAAAAUUAAAACUGCAUCAUCAUAAUUUGAAUAUAGAUUUUCUCUAUAAACUUUACAAUUUAAAUGUAUCUUUGUUUUUGUUUUUAAAUCACAGCAGUGAAGGUUUAACAAUGAACAGUUUCUAAAUUAGUUGAAUAUACUAACUUUGAAAGCCAGUGCCUUUCGUCACAGGAGAAUGUACUUACCAAUUACAACAUUUUGAUAAGGCAUUCUUAUGUGAAAAUGCAUCUGAUCUAAAUCAGUUUUGCAUUCUCUGGUCUGCUAACAUUAGUUUCAUUUCUUGCAUUUUGAACAAAGAGUUGUGUAUUUUUUUCUAAUUAGAGUUGGACCUCUAAAUUGAGGUUUCAUAGGAAUAGUUAUAUUUAAAAAAAAUCUCUUCAAGUCAUUCUGUAGUACUUGAUUGAAAUCAUGAACAUGACAUACCACUUCAUCAGCAGUUUUUCCCAGCAUUAAAUUAUUUUAUUAUUUUACUCUAGUGUCACAAAUCUAAGAAUGUCAUUUCUAAAAAUUUCUAAAAUAGCAUUGAUAAUUAAGUCGUACAAGUUAGGUAGACUGAAUGUUAAAUUUGGUUCUCUUAAGAUGCAGAAGAAUGAGAAUUCUGAUAAACAGAUCUUACCCAGCAUUUUUUAUUUUAAGAAGAUUUUCUUUAAAGUACACAAAACAUACAUGUAGAGUUUGAUGAAUUUUCAUAAAGUGAACACAUCCAUUUCUACAGUACCCAAGUCAAGUAACAGGACAUUAUCAAUACCCUCAAAGACCCCCUUGCUCCCAGUUACUCCCCCACCCCCAAGCAGUAACAGAUAACCCCCAUCCUGACCAAACACCACAGAUUAGUUUUGGUACUUUGUACAGUUGGAUCUAUAGUAUAGACUUUUUGUUGCUGACUACUUUCAUGUAUCAUUAUAUUUGUGAGCGAAAUAACCUCUGUUGGAUAUCAUAAUUGUUCAUUGCUAUAUAAUAUUCCAUUGUGUGAAUAUUCAUUCUGUUAGCCAAUAUGCUUUAACAUUUUGAUAACACUAAGACCUGUUAAGUUUUUGUAAAUUAUUAAAGGUAUUUUAACUUAGUUUAGGAUGUAAAGUCAAAAAAUAUGGAAGUCAAUAAAAGCUACCAGUGGUCACAUUUAUAACUUGCAGCAAUUUGAAUUGUAGUUAUUUGUUGCAUAAGUAAAAAUGUGUCCUCACUUAGAAAAUUGGUUAGUCUGCUAAAACAGUAAUGAUUUUACAGAAUUGAAUAUUUGGUGGAUGAACUCUAUGGUAAACUCUGGAUUUUAUUCUGAAAGGUGAGUGACAGUCCCCGAUGCCACCCCUUUUGUGAAAUCUGUGGUGUUCUCUAGUGUGCCCUUUCCCUACCUUGCAUUGGACUUGGUCCUGACAAGUCUCUGUUCCCAGCAGAUUGUGAGGUCCUGGACAGCAGGACCCACUCUUAUAGGCAGGUACCCAGAGAAGAAAGGCCACAUAACUGAUGGAAUGAAUGAGCAACACCCAGCUAGGACUCUUAGAAUCUGUUGCUUUUUAGGUAAUUUCAUGAAGUGCAAAGCAGUUUAAUAACUUUUGACCAGAGACAGAUGGAAGUUUUUAGUGUUACAGUAAAAUUGGUUGAAAUAUUUUCUUCUCAUUUGUGAAAGUUCAUCUUUACCUAACACUCGAGUGGAAUCCUCAGGUGGGAAAAUGCAGUGUGGCUGACUGGCAGCAGCAAUGAACCACACAGUGAUGCCGGGUGGAGUCCAGGCCACAAAGACUGUAACUGCUGUGGAAGGGUUGCCUGCCUGGGCACCUCAAAAGGAGAAGGGCAGCAGGUUCAGGUCAGGUUGUCUGCAGCCAGCUGCUGGAAGGGUAUUUGCCCAAAGGGUGUUGCUAGUACCCAUGAGGAACUCCUUCCAUUCCUUGCCUACCUUCUGAGCCUGUGAGAUUAGACAGAGGCAGUGUAAAUUCCUCUAGUGAAGUUGCUGUGCCACUAGCAACUUCAAAAUCUGGCAAUCUAAACUAUAAUUUUGAGAACUUUCUACUUGAGCUAUAAUACAAAAUCAUUUUUAGUAAGUUUUGCUCUAGUUAACUACCUUUGUUUUUGUUUUUAAAGAAAAGUUUUUAUUUUUAUUUUUGAGACAGAGUGUCGCUCUGUCACCCAGGCUGUACUCACACUGCACACCCAGGAGUGCAGUGGUGUGAUCUCGGCUCACUGCAACCUCUGUCUCCCAGGGUCAAGCGAUUCUCCUGCCUCAGCCUCCCAAGUAGCUGGAAUUACAGGCACAUGCCACCACCCCCAGCUAGUUUUUGUAUUUUUAGUAGAGACCGGGUUUCGCCAUGUUGGCCAGGCUGGUCUUGAACUGCUGACCUCAAGUGAUCCACCUGCCUCGGCCUCCCAAAGUGCUGGGAUUACAGGCGUGAGCCACCGCACUUGGCCAAGAUUUUUAUUUUUGAUUAAUGAGAAGUUACUGUUGUUUUUGAAAAAUGGAAUAAAGUUUUUAGCACCAAUUUACUGAAAUUUCUUGCAUUUUGUCUUUUGUUACACUGAUACCUUUCUAGUGUACAUUCCCUGUUCAUCAUUUUCUAAAGUCGAGUCGUGUUAAACUGGGUUAAAGGAGGGAAACAUGAAAAGGUUUAGGAAUAUUAUUUCUAAUGAAAGGUUGAGAGUUUCUCAACCUCAGCACCAUUGGCAGUUUGGGCCAGAUAAUCUUUGUUGUGGGGCCCGUGCUGUGCCUUUUAGGAUGUUUAGCAGCAUCUAUGGCCUUUACCCACUCGACACCAGUAGCAUCUCCUGUGCCCUCAUAUGAUUACCAAAAGAUGUCUUCAGAUGUUACUGGAUGUCCCCUGGAGGGCUACUGAUUUAGGCUGUUAAGCUCUAGUUAGUAUGGAAUCCGGUUAAUAGUACAGGCUCUGAAGUCAAAUUCCUUGGAUUGAAAUUCUAACUCUUUGGCCAAGUGACAACCACUCUGACCCUCAGUUUUCUCAUCGCUCACGUUGGGGACUAUAAUAUUACUCAACUCAUAGAUUAGAAUGAAUGAGUUAAUACAUGUAAAUCUUUAAGAAUGGCACCUGGUGUGUUGUAAAUGCUCAACAAAUGUUAACCAAUAUUACUGUUUUUAUUUGUAAGAACAUUGGGUAUUAUAGUACAUCUUUUCUUCUUAUUUUUCACCAUGUCACAGAAUGGAGACCUAAGGGGAAAUAAUAAGUGAGAAAAUUUCUUAACAAAUUAUUCUUCAUUUUAAAAAGCUGCAUUGCUGUAUCCUCUGGCAGGCAGUGUGGCAAAGUGAAUGCAUAUCUGACUCUUCCGACAAGUUCCUUUGCCUUCAGUAAUUCUGUGCUGCUUAGCAGAAACCAUUGCUUUAAAUCAGGCUUUGUGGAAAUAGAGGGAGAUGACUUACAAAUUGACUUUCAAUAUGGGAUUAAUCCAUCUUUGUUCUGGAUUAAGAAAGGCUGGUCUCAGUCCUCUGAGCCUCUGUCUUCCCAGAGUUGGAGGCACAUUUCAAGACCGUCUAUCCCCAGCCCAAGACAGAGGGUAGUGAGAUGCCCCCAGAUGGGAGUAUAGGCUGGAAGAAAUGCUGAUUUUCUCUAUUACCUCAAUCAGUUGAAGCUACCUCCUCCUUGAAUUUAACCCAUUAUCUGAUUUGACAAUAAUUUAUUUUGCUAAAACCCUGAUUGUGGCCAUGAUUGCUAAUUUCAAAGAAUAAAAAAAAUGCAGGGGAGUGGGGGAGGGAAGGGCCUACAGAAGGAAUAGCAGAGAUUGGACAGAAGGGAAAUAUUGUUUCCUAAAACCUGACAAUGGGAAAGGAAAAAGAGAAGAAGCUGCAAGCAAAUACGUAGUCAUACAUACCAAAAUAGACUUGAAAUAAUUUAAAUCAGCCAAAUACCUCCACUAGUGAUACAUGCAACUGAAUUACAUUGACCAGUUUAUAGGUUUAAAAAAUCCAUAUGAGUUAAUCUCAAAUAUGUUAAUGACCAAUAUUUUAAAAUUUUAUCAAGUUUCUGACUUUUAAAACACGCUUCUGAUAAAGAAUUGGAAUUUUUAAUGUAGAAAAAAUGUUUUAAGUUAAUGUGAGAUUUUUAAAGGGAAGUCAGCCUCCUUUUUUGCCAAAAUAAAGGAGUAUAUAAUUUGCCCCAGUUAUGAUGCCAUUUUCCUACAAUGUUAGGAAGAUUCUGAUUCCUCCUAUUCACUUUUCCCAAUGUGAAAACUGAGACCUAGAGUUACAGGACCUUUCUAGGAUUGCUUAGCUAGCUUGAGCCUUGAGCUCUUGUUAAUUUUUUCAUUGUUGGGGGGUCUUAAUUUGGCUUAAGAAGUUGAUACAAGUCUUUUACAAUUUUGUUCUUUUUUUAAAUCUAGUAAUUGUUUCUGAACUUUGUGGACUUGUACGUCGUAGGAAGCACUGAUAAAAAUGCAGCUGAGUGUCAGAUGCUUUUAUUACCUGGAAGCUGGGGCCCUGACUAUGAAUACACAGUUUACUUCCCACUCGGGCAGCAUGUUUCCUGGCAUGUGUCUCCCUCUCUCCCUGCAGGCUCAGGUGCCCCUGUUCCUGUCCUCAGCAUCCGGCCUUGCACUGCUGUUGCCCUCUGAAUGUCCUCUGUCUUUCCUAUCUUUGGCUGUGGUCUCUUCACUACCUACCCUGUCCAAUCUAAGUGAGAAAGCUGCAUCACGCUUAAGGUUUUCUUUCCUUAAUACCAGGCCCCACUGCCCCAGUGAGUGCCCAGACCCUGCAGAAUCUGCUUCUUCACCAGUCGCCAUCCCUAGCAUGGACAUUUGCAGUGGACAUUUGUGAAUGGACUGAUGGAUGAGCCACUGAUAGUGUUCCCUUCACUGCAGGCCUUAGUAUAUUCAUGCCUGUUAGAUGUGACACUUAAGUGCUAAAUAUACUUUGAAGGUAAUGUGGAACCCUCUCUCCAUCACAUGAAGCAUGUCUGCUCAGGGGCAUCCCUUCACCCCGCUGAAAAGCUUGAAUAAUUCUCCAUGGUAACUGGACAAGGCAGCCCUGGAUAAGGCAGCCCCACGUCCAGAGACUGGCACAUGAAGUCUUUCACAGAAUGCCCUCCCCCCCACCCCAUACCCUUCUAGCCUCCUUUCCACCAGUGCCCAUUCCUCUGCCUCAAAAUUCAGUCAAUGGAGAAUUGUAAAAGAUUAGUACAUUUAGGAUCUUGUCUUUUAUGUAAGUGAAAAUAAGGACCGAGUGUUGAUGCUUCGGAUUCAAGAGCCAGCUGUGCAAAAUUAAAGUAUCCUAUUAUUCACUGUGUGUAAUGAUGACCCUAAUGAAUGUGGGAUAAUUCACUUCCCAUUGAUGAGAAUUCAGUCUAUAACUGUAAACUAGAUGCUCAUUAAUUUAAUGCUUUUCCUUGACACAUAUUUUGUUUCUACAGCUGUUAGUGAAAUGUUUUUAGGCAUCUGUGCAGGUGGAAGGAUGCAUGCAAGCUAAAUAAGUCUAGAGGACGAAGAGAAUCUCUUUGGUAUUCCUUACAACCAUCCUUCUAAAAGGGGAUCCCCACCCACCUUCAAAAGCAUGCUUCUGGAAGUCUCUUGUGGCUCAGUCUCUACCCUGUUUACUUGUCAUAUUGUGUCUUUAUGUCUGCUUCUCACCAUUUUGCCAUUCUCAUUUUCUAGUAGGGACAUGGGCAUGGAGAGACAAACACCGGAACUGCCAGGAGAGAGCAAAGCUUCCCCUUCCUGUGAGCAGCCCUGGGUGGUCCUACCCCCUCCCCUCACAGCUGGUUUGAGGCUGAAGCAGCUUUCCAUUGCAUCUGUUCACCGAGGCAGUUCUGAAGCUAGUUGGGCCUUUUAAUGGCCGUAAAACAGAAUUGCUGUGUGGAAGGCCUUUCAGCAAUUUAGCUAAAGGCUUUAGAGGCAGUGGAGAUCUUUUCACUUACCAAUAUUGGCACUAAUGAAACAGGUGGGGAUACCUUUCCUCUAAAUGCUGCCAUUCUCUGUGUUCAAACACUGCAAACCCCUCAUCCGGAGAAACUUUCCCACCUUGGCUGUGUUAGUCCAUAUUAAACCGUUUCUUAAGUUUGGGAGCGGUUCUACGGAGAUCUUCUGGUUGUUUAUAUGUGAAUCAGAUGUCAAAAAGCCUAAUCUGCCCAGCUGGCAGUUUGGGCCCCAGUCUCAGAGGCUGCACAUGUGCGCAAGCCGUGAUUUCAAGGUGUGGUUUCAGGCAGCAUGCGACAGUGCUCCGGACAGGAGAGCAUGGCCUCUGCAAGUGUAUUCCCAGCUGGCAGGAUGUGGCUUUUAUUUAACUGCAAAAUGUCAGUUUAUCAUUACUGGGCGUGGGUAGAGAAGGAGGGACUCUGUACAAUUAAGUGUUUACUCAGCAGAUGACUACAAUAAGUACAGAAAUGGUUAAAAUGUUAUGACUGUGAUUUUUAAGUACAAUUUCUAGGAUUGUGGAGGUUACAUUGUAUAAAUAGGAUUAAUACCAAAUGAAUUUAAAGGCUAGAGAGAAGAGAUUCCCACCCCUCCUUAAAAUAACGAUGUCCGUUUCUUUCCAAAGCAUGUUUUCGUUUUGAGGGGUUUUUCGGUGAAAUUGUGAACCCUGAAACUAGUGUGUCUGGCAUUUAUUUCUGGAGAAGGCCCUUCUAAGUCUAUGUUUACUAAGCAGUUUGAGCCACAGAAAACUUUUAGUCUCUGAUAAUUUGAUAUCUGGUGAUGAGACAGUAAUUACAUCACUAUUUCUAGGUUGGUAAUCUUUGCUUUGGAAAAUGUGUAAUCCUCUGCUUCAGACAUACUCAGUGUGGAUCCAUCACAGAUGUGGCUGAAAGAAAAAAAUCUGCAACCUCUUGCUUUUGUACAUUCUUUUCUCUUGCCAAAGCUGUCUUGCCCUCUGCACUGUGAUUGUAUUAUACUGCCCAUUUGAAAAAUGGCCUAUAGGAUCAUUUUAAAAUCAUAAUCUUUAAAAAAUAUUUUUACUUUAGGAACGUUUGUCUUAAUUUUUGCCGAUAUGGUGUGUUAAGAUUAGAAUCUGUUAAUUUCCUGACAUUUAUUAACUACCUGAUAUUUAAAUUCCUUGCCUAUUUUUGAAUUGUAUUGUUUGACUUCUGUUUUUUAAUUUGUAGAAUCUGUUAUAUGUGUUGCAUAUAUUUUGUUUAUCUUUUAACUUUGUUCAUGGUGUCUCAUCUCAUACUUGAGUUGGGUAUAAUCAAAUCUGGAAUUUUCUCACUUAAGCUUUAUAAGUUUCUUGUUUUGCAUAAGAAGUGCUUAUCUAUCUCAAGGUUUAUGUAACAUAUUUUUUCAGAUACUUUAAGUAUUCUAGGUGUUUAGAUUUUUCUUGCAUUAGAAUUUUUUGUUUAUUUAAUUAAUAUUAAUUGAGCAUCUGCUGUGUGCCAGGCCCUGGGCUCUGCAUGGGAUGAGUUAAGACAAACAUGGUCCCUGCACAAAUGGAGGUUGUAGGGUCAGAGGCAGGCAAUAAAUAAGAAAUCAAACGAAUAAAUAUAUAAUAUUCAUUGGUGCUCAGCACUGUCAAGGAAACAAACAGUGGAGAAUACUGUGAGGGCCAGGGACACAUAUUUAAGUUUUGAUGAGUUAUGAAGGCAUACAUAGAGUUUAGUCUUGCAAACAGAGAGGGGCAGAAGUGUAACUGUCAGCAUAUUCUAAGACUCUGAGGCAGGCUUGAGGGCUGGUUAGUGGGGAGUUGGAGCUUGGGAUGAGAUGAGGGUACAGUCAAGUCUUGUUCAUGGGCCUUGGCUUUAAUCUGGUUGCAAUAGGAAGCUGUUGGGUGUUUGGGGAGACAUUUAUGCAUGAAGAGGGUGUUCUGGCUUUGAUAUGGAAGGAAAGGAUGGAAGCACAGAGACCAGUUAGGGCCUGUUGCAUUGGCUUAGACCAGAAAUGAAGUGGCUUAGACUAGUGUAAUGGUUAAUUGUAUGUGUUAACUUGGCUGGGCCAUUGUGCCUAGAUUUGUGGUCAGGUGUUAUUCUCAAUGUUUCUGUGAAGGUGUUUUUGGAUGAGAUUAACAUUUAAAUCUCUAGACUUUGAGUAAAGCACAUCAGGUAAAAGCUUGCAUAGAACGAAAAGAUUAACCCAAUCCAAGCAAGAGGGAAUUAUCAGCAGAUGGCCUUCAGACUUGAACUGCAGUCUUGGUUCUUUCCGGGGUCUCCGGCCUGCCUGUGCACACACACACACAUGCAGACACACACUCCAGGAAUGGUGACUGGUGAAGACACACACACACACACACACACACCAGGGAUCAUGACUGAUGAAGACACACACACACACACACACACACACACACACACACACACACCUCUCUUUGGUCCACUUCUCUAGAGAACCCUGACUAAUACAACUAGGAUGGUGGGAGUAGAAGUACAGAGAAGCGAAUAUAUCUUUGAGGAAGAAGCAACGGGACUCUCUCAGAGGAAUAAUUAAUUGAUUGUAAUGUAUGGAUGAUGAUGCCAUUCAAGGCAAAAAAGAGGAGCCGGUUUAAGGAGAAACUCAAAGAGUUUGGUUUGGGUCUUGUGUAGUCUGAGAUGCCAGUGAGAUAUGAGGGGAAGAGUUGAGGGCACAAAUUGGAUACAUGAAUCUGGAAUUCAACCAUGUAGAGAGGGGCAGAAGAUUUAGGACUGAGCAUUGGUGAAUUCAUCCUUUAGACAAAGGCUGAAAAGGAGUGACCAGGAAAUAGGGAGGAGAACCCAGAGAGCGUGGCAUCAUGGAGCAUGAGAGGAGUGUGCCUAAGGCAGACUGGAGUAGCUGACAACAUCACAUGCACCGAGUGAGUCCAGUGAGAUGCGGCUUAAAGGAAGGGACUUAGAUUUGACCACUUGCAGGUUGGUGGCUAUGGUGGCUAAGGCAAAUCUGAUGGAGCAGCGGGGACAGUGUCCAGCAUGGAGUGGCUGAGCCAUAAGCAGGAGAUGAGCAAGUGCAGAGCCCACAUGUGGCAGCUCUUUGGAACAGAUGUGCAGUGAUGGGGAGUAGCAAAACUAGGGAGGGCUUGGGGGUCAUGACUUUUUAAUGAUGGAUGAUAGGAGAGCAUGCUUAUAUGCUGAUGGAGAUGACCCAGUAUGGUGGGAUAUUGAUGACAAGUAGAGAGAGGGUAUAAAUGGUUCUUGUUUUCUAUCUAUUCAUUGGUCAAUUUUGGUACUUUUAUAUUUUGUUAGAAAAUCUUCCAUCUACUCUGGAUUUUUGACAAAGUUUACAUAAUGUUCACUUUAUUUUAAUUAUUAGUGUCUGUAAUUAUAUCACCUUGUCUGUUCCUAAUUUUGUAUAUUUUUUGUUCUUUCCUUCUUUUCUUGCUUAAAUAGCUUUUGUUUUACUCAUAUUUUCAAAGAGCCAGCUUAUGACUUCACUUACUUUUUCUACUGUUAUUUUCUUAAGUUUUAUUAAUUUUACCUUGUAUCUUUCCCCCUUCCUCCUACAAGAAUUCUGUAAACAAAAACAAUUUUAUUACUAUCAUGUGUGAGCCAAAAGUUUCUCUCUCGCUGCCCAAGGUCUUCCCCAUGAGAGUCAUCAUGUGAUGCUUCUGGGUUGUCCUUAGUGAUUGUCCUGAGUGUCUCCACAUGCCCAUAUUUGGAAACUGAAUGUAGCGAUUCUGCCUGGGCUCUAAUCUCCAUUUACUUCUGUUCUGUUUUUGUUUAUACAAGAGACGGUCUGGCCGGGUCAUUUCUCGUCUUGGUAUGUUACUGCUGAGUCACAGUUCAGUUAACCAAGAACCAUGAGAAUGAAAGUUCUCAACUAAUCACAGACGGUAGAUUCCCCAAUGCAAUGAAAAACUCUUCUUUAUAUCAGGAAUAUUAAAAUGGAAGAUUACAUUUAAAAUAAUAAUUAAAUCUACCCAGUGCUUCAUGGUUCUUCUUGUUGAUUUCUCAGGGUGUGGUUAGCAAUGAACUGAGGUUUAUAACUAGCAAGUAUUAGUGAAAACCCCCUGAUAAUUCAGUUUAAUGGCUACUUUGACACAUUCAUCCUGAUUUAAACACAGACCCUACAGGUUAUAUAAACGGAUAAGAUACAAGUUGUUUUGGUAAAUUAAAAUCUGUAAAUAUGUAUGAUAAACCAGCCAGCUAUUUCUUAAGUAUUUACAUGUAGUUUUCACUCAGCUUACCAGGGCCCAGGGAUUUAAUUAAGCUGUACUGCAAGUUCUGUUUAUGGUUGUGCCAUAUACACAGGUGGUACUCAAUAAAUCUUUGUUGACUUGAUGUUGAUUGAGUGUAUCUGGGGUUUACCUUCACUGUAGAAAUUACCUUACAUGGAUGGCAACGCUAGGUGUAUUCACCUGGUAGACAGUGGGUCUGUAUGAAGCUUAGGUUUUGCUGGCAGUCAGCAGUUUAAGUGAUUAACGAAGAGUUCUUACAAUACAGGGAGCAAUGAUUUAAAGCCAGAAUUCAAGGCCUCAAUAUAACUGUUUACAUUCUUUUUAAUCUGUGUCAUAAUUCAUUUUCAAAUAUUUGUAGUUGUUAUUGUAACAGAAGGUAUUUCUUCUUUCUUUUACUACUACUACACCACCUUGCCCUAACAAUAAUGAGAGUUCAAAUACAGAGUGCUUAUUCUGUGUCAUACAGGUAAUAUCUAUGGCCACCAGAUUCUGUGCUAAUAAGCACUUCGCAUAUUUUUUUUUUUAUUUUCCCUCACAACAGUUUCACAAGGUAGGGCUUUUAUCAUUUCCAUUUUCAGAUGAGGCGUGUGAGGCACAGAGUGUUAAGUAACCUCCCCAAGGUCACACAGCUGGUGAGAAGUGGAGUGAAGACACGCCUGGGUCUGUCUAAUGCCGGAGCUUCCUUUCAUAACUACCACACUCUACUGCCUUCGUUACCCUAUAGGGUACCAUCUAGAACUGGAAAUGACAACCAAGAAGGAAGGAAAUCUCACUAAAGGGCUGGUAAAAUAAUCAAUAUAACCACCAUUCAGCCAAAAAUACACACGCAGGUGUUGAAAUAUUGGCUUUUUGAUUUCUGAAAUGCUGAUGACUGUAAGUGAACAGCCUGUACUUCAGGCAAAGGUGAUUCUUUUUUAAGUAACUGAAUUCCUGAAUCAGGUCUCUCCUUCUUAAAGUUCCUGUUAGACUGUUUUUAAUAUCACAGCAGGCCUUAGCAGAAGAACUGUUGGCAUUUUCGUUAGUUGUCUUACAUUUGCAUUUCAAACAAACAUUCUGAUUGUUUGCCUCAUAGAUUUUGCCUGGUCUAGUGGCCGUGGCCGUUAGUGAUCAUUAUUAAAUGGAACUGUCUAAAGAUUUCACAAGUUUGUUUGGAUUUCAUAGGCCUUCUUUUUAAAUAAGAAAGGCACACAGUCAUCUCUAAUAUUAAAAUACAUUUAAUCUAGGUAUAAAACACCAAUUAAAAAAACAUUAAACUUGGUCUUUAAAUGUGAACCCAAGGAAGAGCACUGGCCUGUGCAUUUGGAGGCCUGGAACAUGCGCCCUGCAAUGUGGCUCCAGAUAAAUGAUUCACUGUCUCUGAGCUUUAGGGAGAAACCUGUAAAAUGGAACUGUAGAUAAGUACCGUUUCCAUGCAGUUCUUCAAAUUCAGUAUUCUGUCAAAAGGAUGAUCCUGGAUUCGCUGGUGGUUUUUCCAUGAGAGUGUUACUUAGGAGAAAUGCAAAAGAUAUAGAUAAAGAUAAGCUAGAACCAGUGACAGAUUUUUUCGCUUAAGUAGGCCUGCAAGCCUCCUUCCACAUGAUGUGAAAUAGUCACUCAUCCUGGAGACUUGGACAGUAAUAUACCCAGUAGUGACAAUUAUCCAGGAAGGAGCUGGGGAUUUAAACAACUGUAGUAGUGGUACUCUAUUUUUAAGUUCAUGUGUCUGUGUACAGAGAAUUUUGCAUGCAUUCGUCCAUCGUUUUUAAGGGCCUACCACAUCGAUGUUAUUUUUGAGGAAAUAUUUUUCCCUAUAUAUUAUGGAUGAAUUGUAUUGUCAAACUCCACCUGAAACCAUUUCAUUCUCAUAGGCUCUCGUUUGGUUAAUUGCAAAAUAUGGUGAACUGCUAAAUGUCUUUUGCUUUUAGGGGGUGGCUCAGUUGCACCAUAGUUUACCAAGAUAUAGUUAGUAGUGCUUAACCAAUAAUUCAGCAAGCUAAGUAUAUACAAUAAUUCCAUCCAUAGUCAAUUAGUUCAUAUUCUUUAUCUACAAAAGCUGAAUUCUGAUGGCUCAAAUCAUUUUAAAGUUAAAAUAGGCUUCUUAACCACAGACUUACAAUAAUAUUAAUAAUAACUCACUGUGAUUACAAAAAUCUACUGAAUGUUAACUAUGUGUUAGAUACUAUUCUAGCACUUAACAUGUGUUUAACUUAUCUAUUCUCACAACCCGAUGAGGUAAAUUCUAUUGCCCUAUUUGAUAGAUGUAGAAACUGAGGCACAGAGAUGCAUGAGAUAACCUGCCAGUGUCACACAACUGCUAAGUGAUGUUGGUCAGAUCUCCAAAGCCCACAUUCUUAACCAACUUAAAAUUAUCCAUCUGGGGCCAUAGAAGGUAUUUGUUGUUGUUGUUAAAAAAUACUUCAUUGUUUUCACCAAAUAACAGUGGGGUUGAUUGUACCAUGUUUGUAAAAAUGGAAGGAAAAAGCAGAUAGCAUCACCCCUUUAGUAAAAAAAUACUUGAGGGAAUGUUGUCUUAAAUAUCAAAAUAAGCCUGCCUUUAAGAGUUGCUUUUUUUCCUUUUGGCUUCAUUUUCAGUUUUUCUCUAAUGGCUUUACACCUCCUCUGUCCUACAGAAGUGAAAGCCCUCCUUGGCCCAUUCUGACUCAUAGUUACCUGUCAGUUCUGUUCUCAGUGGAGACAGCUUUCCUGGAACCCUGCCCUCCUUCGCUACACUUGGAGCCUGCUCUCCAGGUCUGCUCACAGCCGGGGUCCUGCUGGCUCUGUGUCUUUCUCAUUAGAGGCUUUCCCAAGUGUCUGAUGAUACUUGGAUGUCUGUUCACAGGGAGGGACAGCUGGAGUCUGGGAGUGGGGAAGGGUGGGACUCAAGAAGCCUGGGCCUAGGUGUAGGAUGAUUGAAUUGGGGCAAAGCAGGGUCUUCUGGGGGAUGCGUCUCCUGAUGUUCUGCAGUGGUGGGAAGUACACAGCAUAUCAUCUGUGAAGUCUUCUUGACAACAUCUUUAACCAGAAUCUGAUUAUUGAGAAACAGCUAGACAAAUCCAGAUCAUGGAGCAUUUUGCAAGAUACCUGUCCUGGUCUAUUCAAAAAUGUCUAUAACGAAAGACCAAAAUUAAAUAAAAAUAAAAGGCAGGGAAGUUGUCCUUUAUUAAAAGAGAUUAAAGAGGUAGAACAACCAAAUGCAGUGUGUCAUCAUCCCUUGGAUCCUGAAUUUUUCAAAAGAAAUGCUGUUAAAGUACAUUUUUUAAACAAUUUGGGAAGUUGAAAUAUGGAGUAAUUAUUGCACAAAAAUUAAUUUAUUGCAUGUGAUAAUAGUAUUGUGAUGACGUAGAAAAUUGCUGAAAGAUCUAGGGGUGACCAGCCUGGCCAACAUGCUGAAAUCCUGUCUUUACUAAAAAUACAAAAAUUAGCCAGGCAUCACGGUGGCACAUGCCAGUAAUCCCAGCUACUCGGGAGGCUGAGGCAUGAGAAUUGUUUGAACCCAGGAAAUGGAGGUUGCAGUGAGCCAAAAUCGCACCACCUCACUCCAGCCUGGGUGACAAAGCGAGACGCUGUCAAAAAUCUAGGGGUGAAGUAUCGUAAUGUCUGCAACUUAAUGUGAAUUAGUUCAGCCAAAAAAGGUAUGAUUUUGCGAAUAUACAUAUCUUUUUCUCUCUCCACACACAUACUAGUGUGUGUGUGUGUAUGUGUGAUGUAUGUAUAUAGAUGUCUUCUGUAUCUGUAGACUUUUUUUCUGGGAACUAUUUGAUUUAUUAGGAAAACAUUAAUUUCUCAGAGUUGGACAGUGAAGGACAAAGCAGUGAUUAAAAAUGCAGUGAAACGAUGAAAACAUGAUGUUUAUGAGGCCAUUUAUUAGCCUGAUAAUUCAUUAACCAAAGAUUUAUUGAGUACCUGCUAAGUCUGCCCUUACUGUGCCAGGUGCUCCUGAGCAAGAUAGAUCUCAGUCCUCAUCUUGGUCAACUCUGCAGCCCAAUACAAGUACAAGUAAUUAGGGCUGUUGUUUUGGAAAGGGAUUAUGGCUAUAUAUACAGGAGGUCCCACCCUACUCUAAAUUAGAGUAGAGAAAAUCGGUGACUUUUCAGCUGAGUCUCUCACCCAUAAAAAGAUUAGGAUUUAACUGUUAAAGGGUGAGUGGAUAGAAGGGGGAGAGAGAAAAUGACAAAUGAAGGAGAAACAGCCAGUACAAAGGCCCUGCUUUAGCAAGAAAAAAUAAUGGCAGUUCCCUGCCUCUGGGAGGGGUCAGGAAGGGAGAUCUGAGCAGUAAGCAGGGCUGAGCUCCUGGGAGGACCUGCCAGCCCAAAUAUCAGGCAGGCGUUAGAGGGCUUGUUCAACAGGGGCCGAUUGAUGGGAACGAAUAUCCAUUUUUGAACAGUCACAUUGGUGAUUGCUUUGAUGUUAUAGAGAUGAUUAAAGAUCUCAAAGUUGGUGAAUACUUGGAGAUCAGUUAGAAGCUAUUGUCCAGGCAAGGUGAUGUGAUUUAGACUGAGUUGUUUUAGACCGAAUUGGUGGCAGCAAAACUAAAGAGUAGGUGACAGCUUAGAGUGAUAUUCACAUAGUAGGUUAAUGUGGAUGCUUGGAUCAGUCCUUAGGUUGUCUUGAUGUGGCAGCUAAGAGAGCCGGAAAAGGCUGGGGCCACUCUGAGCUUCUGACUUGAAGAAAUGGAAGGAUAAUGUGAAUUUGGAGGAGGACCAUGGUCUUUUUCUUGGAGGGAGUAGAACGGGGGAGAAGAUGACUGCGGUUUGCGGUAUGAUGAAUUUGAGGCAUCUGUAAGACCUGAAGUGCUGGCAUUCAGAAGGCUUAAAAUGUAUGGGUGUGGAGCUCGGAAGUGGGGUUUGGGUAAGAUUAGGGAGUUUUUCAUAAAGAUGGUGUUUGGAGAAAGAGGAAAUGACUCCCCUGGAAAGGACUUUUAAACUGUUAAGAAGAGGGCCUGGAAAAGAGGUGGGAGUCUAUGAGUUAGGGUCUGGAGGGUGGGAAGAGAAUCUGAAAGUGCUUUAUUAAUCCCAGCACUUUGAGACGCCAAGGUGGGUGGAUCAUGAGGUUAGAUCGAGACCAUCGUGGCUAACAUGGUGAAACCCUGUCUCUACUAAAAAUACAAAAAAGUAGCCAGGCGUGGUGGCACGAGCCUGUAGUCCCAGCUACUUGGGAGGCUGAGGCAGGAGAAUCGCUUGACCUGGGAGGCGGAGGGUGCAGUGAGCCGAGACCAUGCCACUGCACCGCAGCCUGGGCGACAGAGCGAGACUCCCUGUCAAAAAAAGAAAGAAAGAAAGAAAGAAAGUGCUUUAAAACCAGGGAGUGGGUAGCAGACUCAGGCUGCGAGAGGUCAGGAAGAGAGGACCGAGAAGCCUGCUAGCUUUGCCAGUGCAAGGGUCAUGGGGACCCUGUGGGGUGCUCUUUGACUAGAACAUGGAGCGCUGGAGAAGUUACGGGUACAUGCUACCGUGAGUGGACUGUGAGGUGGGAGGCAGUGAAGACAUGGAGACGGCAAGCCAGGAACGCAUGCAAUUUGUGAACGGAAGAUCAAAGAGUGAUACUGGUAGUGUAGUGGAGUAGUCAAGGAAGGAUUUACUCAUAUAUAUUUUUUAAUGUGAACGAGUCUUGCUUAAGUGAGCCUAUGGGGUCAUGAGCCUGUAGGGGAGGGGGGAGAUUGAAAAUUCAGCAGGGAAGAGUUGAUUGAGCUGGAUCCUCGAGAAGGCAGGAGUGACCUGAGCUUAGCUAGGACUGGACUGAAGAAGCAUGAAAUCCUCUUUUUUAUAAUAAGGUUGUCGGGGCAUGGGGUUAAGGGGAAGCUUGGAAGCUUAGAUAAAGGCAGUAAUUCUAUAGAAAGUUAAAAUGAAUGUUUGAAUAGCAAAACUAUUUAGUAGUUUUGAAAGUAAAUAAAAUGUUUUGCUGUCAGAUAGUGUUUAUGUGGAGCUGAAGACUUGGAUGCCCCUUUCAAGAGCACAGCACCAUUCCAAGGGGCUGCUGCAAGGACCUCUGAUCGCUUUGAGGGCCCUUGUGCUCAGGGUUGCCUCCGUCACACACACCUGACCCUGCACUGGGUGCUGGAUGUUGGAGAUAGGAAGUAAUUGGGAGAAGGAGGGGAGCAAUUAACUAAAUACAGCUGAAAUAAAAGGCUGCUCUAAGUAUCAUGGGUAUCUAAGAGGGUAAUUGGAGAGUUGGAUUUUUUUUUCCUGUGGACUAAUCAGUAACCAUUAUUUUGAUGCAUGAAAAGAACUACAGAUAACCUACCAAAUAGCAGUUAGCUUUCAAACCGGCGCUCCCAGGAGGAAGUGUGGCAACUAUUCAGAAGUUCACUGUCUUUUGCAAAGGUUGAGUACUGACGUGACACACUUCAUUUACUAGAGUAUUUGCAGUAGGAAGGUGACCUAAUUAGAACAAAUGGUAACUUCAGGAGCUUUCUCAUCUUCUGAUUACAGGGUGGUGCUUCAGAUUACUUCCCUGUACUUGAUCAAAAGAGAUGUGUUGUGACUUGUUAGUAGAAUUAACCAGAAAAACACAAAAGUUGUAUUAGAAUGUGGGUCUGCAUAUCGCUCUUCCAUUUCCCUUUCAAGAAAAAUUUUAAGUUAUUCUUAAUUGACAAAAGUAUCUCUUCUACCUCUCCCAACUUCACAACAUUCUCCUUCACCAAAUGGAUUAUACUUUGUAAACGUUUUAAGAGGUUCUUUCCAGUUUAACCUUAGUGUUUUGGUCAUACGAAGCGCUCCAGUAAGUUGUCAUUUCAGAGUUCAGUAAAUGACUCUUUUAAUGUGCUAUUUCUAUUUCCUAUAUUCCAUUAAAAGCCACUUUGUUUUUCUAAUGGUUCUACAUUCCUAGAAUACACAAUCAGAGUGGUUUCCCUUCAGAUGUUUUAAAAUAACAUAAAAAUCCUGGACUUUAUCACCAGCCCGUGCAGUAUUCUAUGGCUUUUUUCUUUCCUCCUUGAUCGUUUGUUUUUUGUUUGUUUGUUUCCUGCUGUUGAGUGUUUUAUCAAUCUAAUACCAAUUUUCCUCUUGGUUUAUGGCUCUCGUACACUGACUGUUAACCUUUGAUAUGGAACUCUGUCAAGUAUUUUCUGAAUUCCAAGAUCACUGCCACUCCUUUGAUUAAACUUGUCUGUAUUAUCCUCAGAGGGAUUUGCUGCAUGUUAUGUGAGAAUGACUUGCCAUUCCUGAAAGCAUGUUGGCUAUACCUAAUCAAAAUGUGCUCAACAAGUUAUCAAAUAAAGGUUCUUAGUUUUCAGUGAUUACAUGGGUAUUCAAUUGUAAUUCUGCAGAGAAAUCCUGGAGAGGUGGUUUAAAUUAAUAACAAAAAUUACCACCCCAGAGCAGAGUGAACAUACGACUUUAAGAUUCAUGAAUGGUAUCUUUUCUCCUCACCCUUAGACACAUGCUAAGAUUACUAGAUUACUAGUAUUAAUAAAUACUGUACUUUGUACAUUGACCACAAAGCUGGGAGAGAAAAAAAAUAACUGAAUAAUCUCUAUAUAAACCUUAAUGUUCCUGUCAUUGUCAUCAUGUCAAAAUCAGAGCAGCUUCUGCUGUGGACUGCUGUGUUCUAGUCACUAUGCUAAUAAUUUUAUAUAUAUUAUUUAAUUGCUCCAACAGAUAUUUUUUGAUCACCUACUAUGUACCAGAUACUAUGGUAGCUACUGAGGAUGUUAUACUCACUACCCACAAGGGAUUUAUAAUUUAAUAGGAGACUCCAGCAAGAAAAUUUGAAGUCCCACUAGAACAUGAUAUUAUUGGGGUAUAUUAGGAACAGGAGCCAACUUUCUAGCAUGUUCAUUUUCCUUUAGCAAAUUGUAUUUACAUAGAAAUGAGACUUACAUAGUGUGGAUAAAGCACAAUUCAGCUUUAACAUCCCCUAGACCUACUCAGGGGAAGCAGAUAGGGAGAUUGCUAGGAAAAGAGGGCUGGUAAGGGUUACAGAGCCCCUCACUCCAGGUAGGAUUCAGCACCAGCUAAAGGCCAAAAGGGGUAGAAACUGUAAAGACAGCUGAGGCUUUUCUUGUCUGGCCAGAAGAGAGCAGGAACUCUGACCAGGAUGGUACCUCAUUAUCUUUGGCUGUCCUAGGGACAUGGCCAUCAUGCCUUCUCUCAGGACAGACUAUGGACCUUUAUCCAAAUGACAGGCACGUUGGAGGUUGUCAGGUAUUCAGGCUGGGACUCAGAAGGCAAACAUAAAACUCUGAUCUUUUCCAGACAUAUAAGUUGUAAAAGCCAGACAUCUCUUGCAUGUCAGACACUGCAUUGGUGCCUACAUUCAAAGUGCUGUGUUAUCAAGGUGCAUCAGCCAGCUUUAUAGCCAGAGCUUUAACAGCUUAGGAGUUGUCUGGUGAGCAAAGAAAGAGUCAUUCUUGAGUGCUUGCCAUGAUGAGGGCAGGCGCUAAUGGGGAAGGAAUUGUCUCAAGAGCUCCUACUAAAGUCAUUGACCAUAGCAUGCAGGUGCUAUGGAAGUGCCCAGGGUGGCAGUCUAACUAGUUUCAGGGAGACAGAGAGGACUUUCCAGAAGAGAUGUCAUCUAAGACCUGAAAAAUAAAUUUGGAUGGAGGAGUGUGAGGAGGAGAUGGGAAAUGACUGUUCAGACAGGCACAGCAGAAUCUGCUCUAAGAACUAAAAGUAUUUCUAUUUCACUGGAAGGUGUAGGAGAGUGGGGGUGCUACAAUACGAUUGCAUUUGCCUUUUUUCCUUGUGUUGACAUUUGCACUAAUGAUGCAAAAGCAAUGGUGGGUAAAACUGCUGGCACUUUAGCAUGAAUCAAUGCAGUGGCUCCAAACCGUAGUCAUUUUAUUCUUCAUUGCCACAAAGUAUCUGCAGUGAAAAAAAUGCGGUUUCAUUUGUAGAAGCAAUAACAUUAUUUUUAUUAAAUCUCCACCCUUGAGUACUCACGAGUUUUUAUUAUGCAUGAUGAAAUGGGAAGUACAUAGAUAGAACUUUUGUCACAUACCAAAGCAUGAUUGUUAUCUCUAAGAAAAGCACUUGUGCAGUUGUUUUACUUGCAAGCUGAACUCACCACUUUCAUAGAAAACCAUUUUUACCUAAAAGAAUGACAUACAAAUAUGGUUAUUCAGACUUGGGUAUUUGGCAACCAUUUUCUGUAGGGAAAUUACAGGAAAAUUUUGUUACCAGCAUUAAAAUUUAAGCUUUCAAGCAAAAAUUAGGAUUUUGGAAAACUUGUAUCUGCUACCAAGACUUGACAGUUCUGAAUACUUAAUAUUUUUCUGAUGAAGUUGGUGGUGAUAUUAAUAAAUGUGAUAUUUUGAUAAGUAUAAUGAAAUAUGUCAACAUUUGUAAGACCUACAUAACUCAGUGAAUUAAUAUUUCCCAAAUGAUCAAUGCAUGAUGUUACAGAGUAGUACAUAGUUAAAAGAUUAAUUCAAAGUAUAAAUUACACCAAUGGAUUUUAACAUCACAGAGUAAGAAAAGCUCAUUGAUGUAGUUUCAGACUCGACAUUGCAACUGACCUUCAAGAAGUGACCCCCACUUGCUGAGUUUGGUGUAGUACCACAGUAGCGUCUGCCGUUUUCUGAAAAGGCUAUUAAAAAUUACCCCUUUUUCCAAUUAUAUAUCUACGUAAAGGAAGAUUUUCUUCAUAUACUUUCAACCCAAUCGAUGUGUUGCAACAGACUCAGUGCAGAAGCAGAUAUGAGAAUUGAGUCAGACAUUAGAGAGAUUUGUAAAAAUGUAAAACAACAUCACUCUUCCAGUAAAUUGUUUUCAUUUUGGAAAAUAGGUUUUUUUAAUAAAAUAUUUCGUGGUAGUAUGUAUUGUGGUUACUAUUGUUUUUUGUAAGCGAAUAAAUGAAUAAAAAUUUUUGAUUUUAAUUUAUAAUAUGGUAAAUGCCCACAGAUAUAUGAACAAAAGCUUUUGGGGAUUUUUCAGUCAUUUUUAGAGAGUGUAAAGAAGUCUUGAGACUAACGCAUUUGAGAACCAAUGAUUUGAAUAUUUGAAACUGAAAAGCAUUUAAUAAGGGAAUUAGUUGCUUGCCAAGCCAUUUGAAGGGCUGGAGGACCAAUACCUGGGAAGGCCCUCACUAACUCUUAGGUUUGCCACUGGUUUUCAAAGAACUGGGAAAUUGCUAGCGCAGCAGGGUCAGGAACUACCGGAAAUCCUGGGUAAUUUGUACCAGGUGAAAGGAGAUAAAGAGUUGAAGUUAAACCCAGGAUUCAUGAUUGGAUCUUGGACUGGAGGAAAUGCAAAUGAUACAAGGCAUUACUGGGGAAAUCAGGGAAAUUUGAAUGUGGGUGUAUAUUAGACAUUGUUAUAUUAAUGUCACAUUUCUUUAGUGUGAUAAUGGUACUGUGGUUAUGUAGGGUAAAUUUUGCCUGGUUCUUAGAAGCAUGCCAAAGUAUUUAGGAGUGAAAUGUCACAUUUCAAAUUGGAAAAAUGAAAAAAAAAGUAUGUUGAUGAGAGGGGUGCGGAGGAGGAAGAAGAGGGAAAGAGAUCAAUCAGUGGAUACCGUCUGCAACUGGAACUUGUGCUGUUAAGAAUUAAUAGUAAUUAACAAAAGCAACUGCCACAAGAGUUGAAAGUGGUUUUCUUUGGGAUGAGGAUUGGGAAGUCAGUGUUGAAGAAGAGGCAGGUCAGUCAGUGGCUUCUGUGUUUUAUUGUAAGCCUUUUAGAAUGAUUUUGGUUUUUUUUCCAACUAUGUACUUGUAUUUCUUAAGUUAAAAAUUUAAAAAUCAGAGGGAAAAUCCUAGAGACCAAUAGGGAGGGCUUGAUGAACUGCAGAAACAAAAAUUGUGGAAUUACCAAGUGAACAGGAGUUUGUGAUCCCAUUAGUUCAUAUUUAAGUUUUCCAGACAUAAAGAUGUGAUGAGACCCAGAAAAUGCCCUUGGGAAUAGGUGAAUAGAUCGAAAGUCUCUGCAAUUAAGGAGGUCAGGAACGAAAAGGCUAAGACUCCAUUUGGCCACCACAUGUGUUGAAGUUUCCCACAAUAAUGGCAUGAUUUGAAGUGCUAGGCAGGCAGUGCUUGUGGUCAGCCCUCAGUCUGGAGUCCCUGUGGUCGGUAAGUUGAGGGGGAUGGGACUCAGCUAUUUCUGUCUGACCUAUGGCUGAACAUCCUCAGAGUUUUCCCUUGUCAUAAAUGAAAAGAGAAUCCUUUUUUCUCUAAAUAACUAAAAAUAACUUUUGAAUAACUUUUGCUGUUCCUUUUGGUGGUAGGUAUUGCUCCCACCCUUAGUCUUAAGUAACUACCAAGAGCAUUUGGGCGCAGCUCACACAUUCUGGGCAUAUUGUAUAUGCAAGAUUUCUAAGCCAUCCCAAAGCUGUUUUAGCCCACCGGUGGUACUUUGUCUUGCUACGCUGCCAACUGAGAAGUGCCCAUAAGGACAGAUAAAAUCUCAUCUGUGGUCAUUUGCUCCAUCACCGCUGUCGAGUGCUUUGAUCCCUUGAGUCAAUGCUGCCAGUGCUGAAGCAACUUUAGCCGGUUACUGUGACUGCCCCAAUUGCACAGUUGCUGGCUGGCUGGCUCAGGCCACCCUGAAGGUCAGUAUGGGGUCACAAGAUGAUUGUUUUCUUCUGGCUGGUGGACAGACCUCUGAGUUGAGAUGUCACAGAAUUGUUGUGGCCUGUCACCUUCUGUGAAGCCUUCCCUGGGUUGCCCCCUCUACUCCCCUCCCCCAUGAUGUACUAGCUGAGUCACUGCUCACAGGGUGCUCAGUGUGCACCUCUUAUGCAGUAUCUCACAUGUUGUAUAGUUAUGUAUUUUUAGGUAUGUUUUUCAACCUUGUUGGGAUAGAGAAUGUGAAUGAUGCCUGUAUCUUCAGCUCUAGUCAUAGUACUUGUCAUCAAGUGCAAAAUAUAUAUUUUUGGGGUGGAUAGAUGGGUGAAUAUAAAUAAGAUGGACAUUAGACUUACAUCACAGUUUCAGAGAAAUUUCAUUAUAAAAGUAUUAAACAAAUGUGUGUUAUUUUUGUAUUGUUAUUUACAGCUGAUAAGGUUGCCAGAUGGCUGAAUUCCAAGUCGCGGGUGGUGUGGAGAUGCUAUUUAAAAGGCUCUUUUUCUUUUUUAUUUUUUGGUAUAUCUAGGCAAUCCAUCUCUUCUUUUUUUAAGAGGAAAAAUACAUGUGACCAAAACUCAAGAUCCAUACAGACGCAUGCAUGUUGGCUCUCCCCCAGGAAUAGAAGUGUGAUUUUGAGGACCAUUGAAAUAGAAGACCCAAAGUCAAAUAGCUGACUGGGACCUUCAUUUAGUCAGCACAUUGUAUCAAGAGCCUCUUAUGUGCUGGGAAUAGUCCUGGUGGUUGCUAUUUGGGGCAGAAAAAAUUAGAGAACCAGUUGGAGUAGAUGUCACCAAAGAAGAGCAAGACAGUGAAAAUAGCUGGGGGAAAAAUAGGACAGAGACCCUGUUUUCUUAGGACAUUAAUAUGUCUCCAGAGCCAGCUUGGGGAACUGUGUCUGAAGUCUACAAAACAAUCCAUUCUCUUACUUCAUUAGGUAUUGAGCAUAGCUGGUUUUUCACAUUCUACCCUACGUUGCUUUGCUUUUCACAGAUACUACUGCGCUGUGUUUUAUUUUAUUGUUUUGGAAAGUGGCACUAUUUCCCCCUGAACUCUCCUGCCAGGGCUGACUUUCAGUUGAUCACUGAGCCUUAGCCUCUGCUCCUUAAGAAGCCCUGAUGUCGUUGCCAUGUGUCUUAGGCAUCCCCUCUUCUUUUCCCUGCCUCCCUGGGAUGGGGGGAGAGAGGAUCUGUGCCUGGGACCAUGGCCUGACCCGGCCCAGCUCCUGCAGUGGAGUUGAAGACAAAGUAUGAGGCUUUCUGAGGACAAUUGAAGCUCCUCAAUGCUUUCUUAUUGUUCUCCUUUUGUGGCAUGAGGAUUCUGACUUUGAGAUGUUUGAUCACAGUCCUGCCUGUGGCAGCUGCACUGCCAAGCUCAUGUAGCAAGUGUCUGAGGCAAUCGUGCAGGGCAUUAAGACUCUUCAUAACUCUUCAGUCUUCUGUCAGCAGCUCCUUUCCUGGAGGCUGGGCCAGGACAGGGGAUGUGUUCCAGUGGCCAGUCUGGGUGUGGACCAGAGGCUGAGCACACAUCUGCCCCACAAGAGAGGGGAAGCUUGAGCCAUGGCUGAGACAUCAAACUAAAGCAAAUGGCUAGACUCUCCAGAGUUGCAGGGAUGAAAAGCCAGGCUGUAGAGUGGGGUCACGAGGAGGGUCUUAGUCCACACGUGCAGUUCGUGUGCCCUUUUCAGGAGCCCUGGCUCAGAAGUGAAUGGCAGGGGCCCUUUCCUAGACCUGCAGCUUUGCAGUCAUUGCCCUUCAGUCUUCUUAUGGACUCAAGCCCAUCUUUAAAAUUAUUCCUAAAACUAGAAAGUGACUGCAGGUUAACUGUCUGGAGUAUCACGUUCUGAAGAAUAGGAACUCUGGCACUGGGAGACAUCACUUCUGGUGGUUACCUGGAUGGAAGUGGAAACUGUCAGGGUAAUGAUAUCUUUUCUCCUCCAACAUGUGCGGAUGAAGUUACAGUUUUUAUCAUCAUGAAUUACUUUUAUUUCUGUUUUGCCUCUUACUUUUUGGGCCCAGGCAGAAGCUUUGCACAGUGGAGGCAGAAGGAGAUCCAGAAGGGAAUUAGCUGGUUGGAUACCCAGAGAGGAGUACACUUUAAAAGCAGAGUCCGAGUUAGCAGGCAAGAGGAGUGACUAGCCCACAGGGCAGCUUAGGGCAGUUCCUGGAGACAGAAAGAGAGAGAGGGACAAAGGCCAGAUUGCUGAGAAUAAGUAGAAAAAGAGCAAAGCCUGAAGCAGCAUGUGGACUGUUGUCAUUCAGCAGUUUGACAGUUUCAUUGUAAAGAGAAGAAUGGUGGUGGUGAUGUUUUAGGAUGGAGGAAGCAAAACUGUGUUUGGGGGUGAGGUUAAUAAGCCAGUGGUAGGGAGGCAGGCAUUGAAGUAGCAAGAGAGGGGCUCAGAGUGAGCAAUAUUGGUGAGGGGUAGGAAGAUGCCAGUAAAAAACUUAAGAUUAUUUAUUUAGUUGGAUUUCUCCUGAAGGAUAUAUCAGUUUUCUGAAUGACAAAUAUGUGCCUUGCACAGUGGUUUUAUUUUGGUUUUUGGUUUUGGGUUUUUUUGAGACAGGGUCUCACUCUGUCACCCAGGCUGGAGUGCAGUGGCGUGAUCUCGGCUCGCUGCAACCUCCGCCUCCCAGGUUCAGGUGAUUCUCCCACCUCAGCCUCUCAAGUAGCUGGAACUACAGGCAUGCGACACUAUGCCCAACUAAUUUUUGUAUUUUUUGGUAGGGAUGGGGUUUCACCGUGUUGGCCAGGAUGGUCUCGAACUCCAGACCUCAAUGGAUCCGCCCACCUCGGCCUCCCAAAGUGCUGGGAUUACAAGUGUGAGCCACUGCGCCUGGCCACAGUGGUUGUUUUUAAAGACUCAUUUACAAGAUUUGUCCUAAUGUCACUACAGUAUAAUUCCCAUCUUGGAGGGGUGAGCAUCUGCACCUGUGAGGCACAGAGGGAAGGUUGAUGGGGGAGGGGAGAGAGGGUAGAGCCCCUGGAAGCUAUGCAGUGGCCUUACAGGAUGGUUUGGGAUAGGAAAUGAUGCUACUUUUUUGCUCUGAAUCCAUUUUUGGAUGUUGGUGGUAUUCAUAGGUUGGAUUGAUUGGGUUUAGGAAGUAUUGUUUAGAAUAUCUACAAAUGAUAAUGUCUAUGAUCAUUGCUUUGGUAGAACAUCCUAAAUUUUAAUCUCUCUUCCUCUCCCAGCCCCUCUCCUGAGUAUGUCCAGAAUUUUAUCAAGUGGUUUCUUCUUGGUUCUCUUAGUAGGAAGAGGGCACAGAACCCUGUGUCUUGGAGGGAACCCAGCUUGGAGUCAGCUUCUGCUGUAUGUCAGGGGCAGCCUUGGAGCAGGCUGGAGGGCCCAGCAACCUCUAGAGUUUGGAAGCUGGAUGUUCAGCCUUUUUGGGUGGAAUACUGUAUAGGUGUUUUUCAUUUGUAAGAUAUACAUACACUGAGGGGCAUAGGGUAGCAUUUUGAAGUUUGAUGAGUGGGUAAAGGCUGAUUGGAAGGGUAGAUAGAUAGGCUAAGACAGCUCAUAGCCUCCGGGAUUCCACAGCCUCUGGAGAAAUGACCAAGGAGAUAAACAGUGCAGUGCAGCAUUGCCAGCGUUGACAGAGGAGCAUUGCGGACCAGCAGGUGACUGCAUAGGCUUCAUACUCUGCUGAAUAGCCUUUUAAAUUUUAAUUUAGAUAUUAUGGGCGUCUUAGCAAAUUUCACUUAAUAGUCACACAUGUAGUUGGUCAGUAAGUAAUAACUGCUUUUUUUGCUUAGCUCUAAGAUGCUGGCAUAUGUCACUCAUGAAUCACACAAUUGAGCUUCUCUUAUCUAUGUGACAGUCUCACUUCUAAUAGAGAUAACAUCAGAAUAGAUUUCUAUCAGCCUUAUUUGAGACUCAGCAAUUGAAACUUCUCUUUCCUAUCUUCAGAAGUGUAUUUGCUCUCUAGGAAAUAAUUCUGUAGUGAUAGGUUUUAAUGUGUCUUGGAGGCUACACCCUUUUCAUGGGCACCAAGGGGUUUGGACAUUUAAGGAUAGGCAACCCUAUACUGUUGCUGUAGCGAAACAUAACACACAGGAAAGCCCGCCGGGGGAGCAUGCUGCUGAAUGCAUUGUGAGGGAAUAGACUUUGAUGUUCUUUUCACAUGAUUUGGGGUUUCCUCAGUAGGUAGGUAGAACAAAAUAAUACUUGUCUUUUAGAUUUAAGACUUACUUAUAGCUUUUUCAAAACAUCAUUAGUUCAUGAACCAAGACUAAAAGACAUGAUUAGAAACAAAAUAACUUAAAUCAAUUGUUGGAAAUUCAUAUUUGGUGUUAAACUGUAAUAAUAUUUUAAUUUAACUCUACAUUUUGGUAGCAAAACACAUGAGUUAAGGAGCAUUUUAAUUUCAAAAUUAACUGAGUCUUGAGAAUCAGAAUCAGUCUUGAAGUAUAGCCCAGUUUUGCAAAUCAGAUUUUUAACUGAACUCACUAUUGUUUAAUUAUGCCUGUCAGGUCUUGUCACUGUCACCAGCGGUGUGGAAUUUAGGUACCUAAUGCUGUGAGCUUUAGUCAGUAGCUUAAAACAGUGUCACUGCAAAGUAACGACACUACAGUGGGUUAUAGAAAUUAUGCAGUUUUAUUUUGUAGUCACAUUUCACGUUGUUAUGCGGUGGAAUAUAUAUCACAUUUAAGCUAAUAAUAUAAUUUUAUUUUUAUCUGGGAAAUACAUGCCAGUACUACUCAGGAAUUUGCUUAAUCUGGCUUAUAUUUUGCAGAGAUGUCAUCUCUAAGCUUUCAAGGUAGCAUUUAAUGUUGCUUUAUUUUUUAGUCAGCAUUAUAGAAAAGUAAAUACAAAAAACUUCAUGCAGUUGUUUAUGUAUUUGCUUUCUGUGUACCCAUGAAAUCAUCUUUUAUUUGGUUCAGAUUUUACAUGUGUGGGGCUUCUUGGCUAGGGAGUCAGGCAGAGGCUAUUCAAGGUCAAGGGGAAAAUACAUGUGUGAUUGUAGUGUUAUUUGUUAAGGUUCUUUUCUGUUUUCUGUUUUCUAUCUUCUAAGCCAGUCGUGAAGUUACACUGUGUUCAAUCUUGUUCUCUAGGUUCAUUUUCAGGUUUAUUAUUAAAGUAUAUUAAACUUCUUGUUCAGCAAAGUGUGAGCUCCUGUUGUUGGAUACUUGAGCAGCACUGUUAUUUUGUAAAAUACGCGUACUCAUACCCAACAAGACAUAGGCUGUUCUGUGCUGCAAGCACAGACACUCCUAAAGGCAGAUAUUUCACAGGAUUUGUAUCAUUUUUGUCAAAUUCUAACUCUCUUAUUUGCAGUGACCGAGUUUUCAUACAUUUGAUGAUAGUUUUUGAAUGAACAUUGCUAUGUGGUUAUAAACUGAUGGCAAUGGCAUUCAUUUUAACUUAAUUCAGAGACAAGAAAAGAGCAAAAUUCUGUAGGCAAAGGCUGUGUUCAGAGUUCCAUUGCUUUCAGGAUUCAUGUCAUCAGGGCUCAGUGUUCUGGCUCCCCUGAAAAAGCUAAUUCAGUUUCUUUACUUACCCCGCAGACAGUUGGCUGUGUGCCACGAGCUGUUGACAGUUACUGCUUCUCUUGAGGCUGAUUAGCAUGCAAUGUUACACUGUCCCUAAGAAUAAUUUUGCUUACCUAUAUAAUAAUUCAAGAAUUUAAUCAUUUCCAAACAUGUCCUAAAUUAUUUAGUCCUUUGUCAGCAUCUCAAUUCAGUUCUGGAAGUUAUUUUUUUUUUUUAAACAUUCACUGUGAGUGUAAUAGUGUGUUAAAUACAUUAAGGAAAGUGUUUCCAAACAGACUGUUAUUUCUAAAAAUAGAUUUCCUUGCAUUCUUUUGCUACAUUAUAGUUGCAUCUCUCAUCUGAGGAUAACGACAGUCCUGUGAGGCCAAAAUAUUAGCUGUGUCUCCCGUUUUCAUAGAGGAGGAAACGGAAACUGAGGCCAAGGUAGGGUAAGGACUUUGCCCAGAUUCACGUAGCUGCCUGUGGUCUGCAGCCCAGCGCCCCUGCCCCCUCCACCUCCUGGCAGGCCUGUGGGCAGAUCCUGUCUUCUGGGAGGGGAAUGGGCAUAUAACCAGAACACAGAAGAGGAUUAUAGUGUCUAACCAACCAUCAUCAGGUGUGCAGAGACCAUUAAUCUCACAGAGGAGAUUCGUAUUCUGCUGUUGUAAGAGGAGGACUCCUCUGGCAGUGAGGGGAGGACUGCGUCCGGCUUGGCCAGGGGUCCACCAGAGGUCCCCCAUCUGCCACUUUCUGAGUGACAGCCAAGCCUGGGUCAUUCUUUUCACCCCACUCACUGCAUCAGGAAACUGUGUAGUUUUUGAGGUUUGCAUUAAACAAACAUUUGAUACCCUUUCAUUCUGCUCCGCAUUAAAAGCUAGACAUACAUUUCAUUAUGGGAAAAGCAAAAACGUGUAAUAGAAAAAGGCAGUUUAUUUCUUAUUUUCUAACCUUUGGGAUUUUAAAAUUUUGACAGUCAUCUCUCUGUUCUCUCCUCUCUUGGCCCAACGUGCUGUCACUUCUCCGUGGUAGGAUUGCCUUUCCCUUCUGCCUGCUCCAUGCAAUGUUACACUCACCAGCUCGCAGAUCUGUUAGCAAAUACUGUUUAGUCAGGCUCUUGCUCAGCCAGCUAAUACAGAGCUACUAUUUAUGAAGGGUCAUUCACCAGGGAAGCACUCUGCUAACUACUUUUCACAUAGGACCUCCUGUAAUUCCUCCAACCACCUUAUUAAGUUGGAUAUUCUAACUAUUCCUAUUUUAUAUAUGAAAAAAUUGAGGCAUAAUGAGGACACCUGCUCAACAUCAUGUAGCUAAUACGUGAUAAAGCUGGGGUUUGAGCCCUGUUUUGCUGGACUCCAUAGCCAGUGGUCUAACAAAGAAGAGACUGAUUUUGUCCCUUCCUUGGCCAGAUUAGGUAGUUGUGAUCUAUCAUUGUUUUCUGGCACAUCUCCCUUCAAAUAAUGUAAACCUUUUCUAAAAAGUAGCUAGCAGCUUUUGCACCUAGAGAAUUUUUUUUGUCUGUUCUGAUGUUCAAUUAAGCAGACUAGUCUAGUGUUCAACAUGUAAGCCAAGAAUUGCACUUUCUUCUUAUUUACGCCUUAUGGCACUAGAGCAAAGAAGUAGUUCCAGGUGGAUCUUCUGAUAAUAAAAAUGAUUGGUGUUGAGACCAGCAUUGUUACUUCUUUACUUGUUGCCAAUUUUUACACAUUUGAGAACUCUGUAGUUGACCGUGUAGUCAGUUGCAUACAAGUUAAUGUCUUGUGCGAGAUUUUAAGGUUAAUUUCUUCCCGCCUACUCUUCCACCUCCCAGAUGUUUUCCUUUAUUUUCCCUAGGAGAUGGAAAUGGAAAUGUUAUUCUUCUUUAUUGUUGCGGAUAAUGCCUUAAGAAAAAUCAGAUCCAAGAGUGUGUGCAUGCAUGCACAUGUGUGUGCAUGUGUGUGUGUGUGUGUGUUAGAGAGGUUGGUGGGGAAUGAAGAGAGAUGAUUUAAUUGCCAAGAUGAUUACAGAUUAAGCUACAAAAAGCAAGAGAGCUAUUGGUCUGAAACUGUGUUGUGUCUAUAGAGUGCACUCUGAUUCACAGAAAAUUUUGUCAACAUUAAAUGCGAUGGGAGUUGAGUUUUCAGAGGUGGUAACUAUGAAGGGGUUGGUCAUGUAAUGCUGUGCACAUAUUAGAGCAGCAGGCAGUGCUCUCGCACUGCUUUUACCUGGAUUUAUAAAAUGCCCAGUCCUUAUACUCUUGAGCAUGACCAGAUCUAUUUCCUGUUUUUUUCACAUUUCUUUUUCUAAGAAUAAACAGAAUCCUAGGAAGGGAAGGUAGCUUCAAAUACAAGCCAUUUUAAGUAUCCUGGUCUCUUAAUUCCUUUUUUAUUUUUUUUGGAUGACUUGAGGACAAUAAGGUGUUUGUUUAUUUAUUUAUUUAUUUUGGUUUUAAGGAGCAGAGAGUUUAAUAGGCAAGAAGGAAGGAAGAAGACAGAAGGAAGAAGCUCCCCCGUAGAGACGGAGGGGGGCUCCAGAACUGAAAGAGGAGAUCCCCCUCUUAAUUCUUAAACUAUUUUUAAAAUGAAUGUUGACUUUCCUGAAGUUAUAAACUGUUUUUAACUCUUAUCAGUCCUCCUUGAUUUUCCUUGUUCAGGUUCCAUCUUUUUAACAUCCUUUCCUCUCGCGGUAACUACAGCAUGAUUUGUUUUACCCCUCAGCACUCAGCUAUCACAGUCAUAGCUCUCUCAUCUGAGCAACCUCUCCCUCAAUCUUACAAACAGUAGGCAUCUACAAGGAAGUCAAAGAAAGGGUCUCUGAGCUGCCACACACUCAUAAGAGGCCUCCUUAGUCCUAUCCCAGGACACAUUUGUUCUUGUUUAUGGAUGAUUCUUAACUGGCUGAUUAUCCCAUUUCUAUUUCAGUAGCCAAUUUAAAAGCAGAAAAUUAGAUGUGGAAAAUUGUACUUAGGUUGGUAAACUGAAAAAUGACACGACAUGCCUUGGCUCUAUUCAGUUAGAGUCAUUUAUUUAUUUUUACAUGUUUGUAACUUGCCCCAUUCCACAGCGGACUUGAGGCAGCUGACGUUCUUACAGAAAGAGUCCCUUGUUAUGUCUUUAAUGGAUGCAGCCUCCUUAAAACAGCUCAGGAUUGAAAAAACUCUUGUACAGAACAGUUAAUUGAAGUGUUCUGCUAACAUUUGUUGUUGCUUUGUUAAUGCUUGCCCUGGGAAUCAUAUCAUAAACAGUUUAGGUAAACAAUAAGUUAACAACACUGAGAAUUUUCCUGUUUCACCAAACGUGUCUUAUCUACAGGCUGCAGACAUUCAGCAUUACCUUGUCCCUUGCUUCUGUUCUCUUUAUAAAGCUCUGGACAAGAGGCACACAACAGACGUGUCCCAGCUGCUGACUCAGUGUGACAGAGCACUGUUGCCAGUGCCCAGGUGACUGCAGUGGGCCACACUGCAGGAUUGAUGGUUUAACUCUCUGUAGCUUCCAAAUCAGAUUAUUUUCAUUUGUGCAAAGGCACACCAGCAGGGGUGUGUACUGUUUGACGCACAGAUGACAAUCUGGCUGGAAGCUAGUACUUGGGGAAAAAAAUAAGGGAAAGGAAAAUGAUAGUUUUGAAACAACAUAGUUAUAAGACACAGCAUGUAUCUAUAUUUUUCUUCUGAAAAAAGUGAAAAUUUUCACCCUGGAAAAAUACCCAGAAACCAAGCAAUAGCUUCCCUGUGUUUUGGCAUUUAUAUAACAGUUUGUAUAAAAGGACAACGCUGAUUCCAAUACUACGUGUGAUUGUGCCAAAAAAUCAUGAGAUGAAACAAUCAGUAUGUUUGCACUUUUGGUUUGAAAUUUUUUAAGAGUAUAACAAUGAAAAGCAAAAAAGGAGGGAGUGAAAGAAGAAUCUGCCCUACAGUUGAAGAGCACAGGGGAGGUGGGAUAGAUUGAAAAGCCAGGUGUCUGCAUAACCAAUGGUUAGAGAACCACCACCAAGAUGAGGAGGUGAAGGAGAUUAGCAUGAAGAUGGGGAGUAGGAAGGAGGAAAUGCCGCGAAAUGGUGCCAACUUGUUUGACUAAAAUUCAGAAUCCUACAAGGACUUCCAGAAAACAUAAACAGCUGCACAGUUUGAAUUAUAUACUUCCUACAUUUCUUCAGUUUUCAGAAGCACUUGAUUCUGUCCUUUGGGCAGUGCUGUGAAGGAGAGGAGGCACAUAGCCCUCGUUUAUAAGCCAGGUGACCGUUAGGCCUCAUGACAUUCUGUGCCAUGGACGGCUGUAACAGACUGGAGACAAAGCCGUGCCUCCACCUGCAAAACUGGCCAUGCUUUCUAGAAAGCCGAAGUUGCAUUUCAUAGACUGCACCGGAGGCUGUAAUACCCACUUCUAAAAAGAACAAACACUUUGUGAGGCACUGAAUUUAGGCCAUUGGGAAGGAGAGGAAGUGCCUACCUGAGGAGGAUCUGUGCCCAGGAAGUGUUGCUCAGUCCCUGAGACAUUAAUAGGAGGGAGUUCAGGUAAGGCAGCCAGUGGUCACUUGGAGAAAGGAGGAUAAGUGGGUUCGAGGCAUCAGCUUGCCCUGGACCUGUAGUGUUGGCAGCAGGUUCCAAGGAUUUGCCUGCCAGCUGUUGAGGCUAAAAAUCUAGGAAUAGGCACAUGGUUUUCCAACCCCCUGUACUCCACCUAACACAGUGCUCAGGAAUAAUUAUUUCAUUUUAUAAAACAAACUGCAGAAGACUUGUAUUUGCCAGAUCCCAAAUUGGAAAUGAGUGUCUUCUCUAAAACUCCUUUGUCUGACUGCCAAGGUAACUAGACUUAUGACGAUGAGAGACUAGGCCAAAACACACACCCAUAGGGGCCCAGCAUACUGUUUUAAGAGCUCUCCCUUUUUGUGUAGAUGCUCAAAGGGAAAUUGUACUUACGGAAACCUUCAGCUGUCUGAAACCAUCGGUGAAUGGGUGAUUCUAUAGAGAAGAGUUUUAUAAAUAGUUGAUAAUUUAAAUGUUCAAAUUUUAUUUUAACCUUCUUUUGCAUGGUUAUGGCCUCCCUUGAGACUAAUUGCUUGGUUCCUUUUGUGUGAAAGAGGGAUAACAGCCCUCAACUAGGACAAUACUGAUGAGCUUAGCAUACGUAUCCUGAUAACAUGUGACAGCCACGAGAGGAACUCCAUGAAGUUUAGCUUCCUGCCUCUUGCCAGCCUCGAAGAGACUACACAGCAAGAAGUCCUUGACAUGAAUAACACUUAUUUUGUGUUAAGGUAGAUUUCCUCUAUGCACAAUGGCCCUAGGCUGCUAUUCUUUUUUAGCUUUGGACUGUUUUUUUUUUUUUAAUAGUUUUUCCACCUCCUUUUCUUAGUUUUGAAAAAAAGUGUACUGAUAAAAAACUUUACCAACUUCCUGCUGUAUUAUGCUAGAAGCUUUAUCUGUGUCACCUCAUUUAAUCUUCAUGGCAAGAUGUCUUUUUCAUUGGUCUGCAUAUGUGUGACUUAGUUAAAUCAUUUCGUAGCUGUGAUUCGUUUUUUUCAAAUUCCAGAAGUUGUUUUGCUGGAUGUAGAUCAGAAGCGGGAACAACUUAAUUCCCUUAAUUUGCCUAAGGCAGAUUUUCCUUAAGUCACUAUUAAAAGUGCUCGCAUUGUUAGGUGAACCAAGCGUUGAAUGGUACUUUACAAAGGUAAGAACAUUAACAUCUACCACUUAGUUGAAGCUCACCACGUGACUGUGCCAGACACUGUCUGAAACCAUUUAUUUCCAUUAAAACAGCUCUAUUUGACUUAGAGGAACUGAUAUCAUGCCUUAAAAUGAAAAAAGUGUUUUAUCAAAGGCAAUAUGAAAAUAAUUUGUUUUGAUGGAAAAACUGUCUUUUUAGUGCACAGUGAAAGCUUAAGAGGAUAGGGAGCAGAGCCAGCUCUAGUUCAUACGUAUUAGAAAAGGAUGCCCUCUCUGGGCAGACACUGCACAGGCUUGGUGAAUGGAUGGUCCUUUUGUGCCUCCGAUUCUCUGACACUAGGCUGUGUGGCGCAGGGAGCUGAGUGCAGGGUAGAUUUCAGCUUCUUGUGCGCUGUUGUGCAUUGCACAGCCUGGCCUAACUACAUGGCAGCUGAAGUGUGUGUUUGCAUGUUGUAGGUGGGGUAGAGUGAGCGAAGGUGUUGAUGGAGAAAGGGCAAAGGAUGAACGAAGGAGAAAGGAACAUGUACAGGACAAAAUGAUACCUUGGCAAAUGGUGAACAAUUGAGGACAUUAUUUGAGAAUUGGGAAGGAGAGGAAGGGGUAAAUGGCUGCAGCCGACCCGUGUUCAAGGCCUGUAAGGCAGUUUGGUCCUCCCAGGGACCCCUGAUGCUCGUGCCUCUGUCCACCUGUACAGCCUGUGGCCAAAACCCAAAGGAAUAAAGAGGGCCCUGGAAAACCCAAGCAAAUUGCACUAUUCUCACCACCACUGCUGCUGCCAAGGGAGUCUUUCUUUCCUUAACCGUAACUCCCUCUCUGGUCUUGAUUUCUAACUUCAGAGCUUAAUAACGCUUCUUCUUAAGGGGCAGAAGGAAUUCUUAGGCUCCCAGGGCUCUCUGGGAGAAGGACUUAGAGACACUGGGGGAUGGUGUGAAAUACUUUAGAGCUUUGACAUUCUCCCCCUUGACUCAUAUGGGGGUUCCCUGUCACUGAGUAGUAUUCAGCCCAUAGGUGGUGAGACCCAGCCCUUGGUCUCUGAAGACCAUCCUGGUCUCUACUCCCAUGUUGUCCUGUUCCCCUAUGGCUUGCAGAUGUGCAGAAAAAGGCCACAAUUGUGGAUUGGGUGCAGUCAUAAUAAUAGGAAAGCAAAAUAUGAAAGCAGAUGUAGAGAGAGGAAAAUCUAAUUGUAAAAGAGCCUGUUUAUAAGUUGCAUACAUAUCUUGAUUAUUUUUCUUCUUUUCAUACUAGAAAAUAUUUGAUCAUUUAUUAUUAUUAACUUCAUUGAGGGCCAAAUGCAGAUUUCAAUACUGUGUUUAGUAACUCUCUGAAGUUGCAGAAGGGCAAAAUAAGUCACAGUAGGUUUUUCGUUCAUUUUUCUAAUUUAGGCAUCAUUCACUCUAAUUUCAUAAGAUUUGAAUGCAGUUUGCUAAAAUUCCAGAAGGAGAUUAAUUUACCAGUUCGUGUCAUAUAAUGCUUGUUUUCCCGUACCAUCCAGCACCCAUUUUGCAAAUAGAAACAUGCAAGGAUGGUGGAGAUCGAUGUACUUUAGAGUGUAUUUCUGAGAGCAAAUGACUUCAUAGUCUACAAAAUAGUGGGGCAGUAUAAAUUGAUCUUAUGUGAAAAUAUGGAUGAACAUGGCUUUUAAAAGGAGAAAAGAAAGGAGACCGAUGAAUGUGUAUAUAUACUUUUAAAAGCUCUGGUUUAGAAAUCAGAACAGGUUCAGAAAUAUCCAGAAUAAUGCCUAGAUGGCUUUCAAUAUUCAUUUGAAUGGGCUGAUUUCAGGUGUCCAUCUUCAGUUAUAGGAAUACUUGCUUCCAUACAAUGAUUUAAUACUGCUUGCAGACCUCAUGGAGAGGUGAUUUAGACUCAGGGAAAAGCAGAUUCUGGCAUUGUUUACUCAAUCUGUCUUGAAUCUCAUAUCCCACCUGGUGGUGACUAUGACCUAGUGUGUGGUCUGCACAGUUAAUAAGUUGGAAUCUUCUCACUUGGAAAGUCCAUUGUGAUUUGCCCUCUGGUGUCUUUUUAAAAACUCAUUAAUAGCUUACUCAGAAACUUAGCUGGUAAAAUUGUUGCACUUGAGAAAAGGGCCAUCUGUUCAAAGUUCAGUAGGGAUAGAAUUCUUACAGUAUAAUGUAAAGUGUUAUGUAUCUUUCUCUCCUUUUAGAAACUGAGCUCACAGACAAGUUCUACCCACUGCAGUUUGUCAGGAUUUUUUAAAUUAUUAGCUCACAAAAGCAAAUCAGAAUUUAAUAUAUUUUUUGUGUAAUAGUUUGAUUUCUAUAUAUAUACAUGGAAGGAAAUGUUUUGCUACAUUUUUGCAGGGCUUGUUGUAUUUUAACAAGGUAAUCUUUUUUCCACUGGACUCGUGAGACUCAUAAAAAUGUCAACACGUGAAGUAUAGUUGAAUUAAAAUGCAAAAACCUGGCCCCCAUACCCUCUUCCUGUCUGCCUCAGCUCCCUUCUCUGGGUCCCCUCCUAUUUGGUACAUAAUCCUGCCAUAGCACCAGCCACACUGCCCUGUAAUUACUGAUAGUAAUUACUAAGCGGUUUCUCCCCCAGUGCUCUGCCUCAUUUGAAGUUCUUGGUGUGUGCACAUAACUGUAUGUUCAGUGGAUGUCCCCAUAGCCUACCGUAAUGCUGGGUGCUUAGUACGCGGAGAGUGAGUAAAUACAUGUGGGUGUGCAUAUGUAAUCAGUGUUUGGUAAGGAUGAACAAUGAGGAUGGAGGUCUGACCCUGGUAAACAGGGAAACGAUGGGGCCCAUCCAGGAAUUCCGAGCAGCAGCUGUGUGAACUUUGGACUUCAGAAGCACAGGCUGAGGUGGGGCAUCAGGCUGCUGUUAGGAGAGCAGUGUUGGAGCGAGGCAGAGGCUGGCUUCUGCAGGAAGAUUCCUGAGGUAUCAGGAAGGUUUCCGAGAGCUCCGACUGAGUACAGCUUGUGAAAGAGGUAAGACUACCAGGAGUGAUGCGACCACAAAGCUGUCAGAUGUGGAGGAUGAGGAGCCCGUGAUUAGAGGGAGUUGGAAUGAGGCUGGUACCACACCAAGUCCCUCCUGGAGUUCCCAGAAUGAUGGGAGAUGGGGCCCACAUUGGGCUGAAUGGAGCACAUUUUCAAGUGAGGUCCUGUGCUAGCUGUGGGGGUGGCAGAGCCUGGGCCAUUCACCUGGGGACACGCCAAGAGGGCUGCAGUGAGGGAAGGGGCAGGGGCAGCGGUCACAACGCCCAGCAGCAUCACCUUUUCAGGAGUGGUGGUGCCCACUUUGGUACUUCUCCCUCGGUUUUCCUUGUCCUAGAGGAGGCAGAAGCCACCAAAGGAGAGCCUGGAGAAAACCUAUCCAGAGAAGCCUCUGACUAGGGGCAGCCCCAGAACCACUGCACAGCUGCCCUUCCAUGGUCUAGCAUGUCACCAAGAUGGGCAGGGGGUCCCUUGCUCCACUAGUCCCCAUUCUGGUGUUUGGGGAUAUGUAUGUCAUGUGGAAACUGAGGCACAGAGAGGUUGCAAAUCUUGUGAUAAUAUACUGUGAAGCCUGGAUUUGAACUCAGUCUGGUUUCAGAAUCUCUGUUUUUAACACUAGUCUGCACUCCCUUUCCCAGUGCAGAAACUGACUGCCAGAGUGAAGGUUGCCAAAGGAAGACCCAGCAUACCAAACAGGAAAAAAAAAAAAAAAAAGAAGAAGAAGUCAGGUCAAGUGAGCCUGAGUCGCUCUCAUAGUUUGAUUGAGACCCCAGGCUCACCUUGCUUAUCUGACAUAGGUCUGACCCACCUGUCUCGUUAGCCCACCACUGCCUGACCCAGCAAGGAUUUCGCUCCCAGGUUCUUGCACAUGCGUGGCUAACCCAGGCCAAGGCUGCUUCUCCAUUCCUUGCAUUUGCUUUUCACCCCUGCCCACCUCACUGAUGAUCAGCCUCACUGGCCAGCCCACCAGUGCUGCCAUCUGCUUCUUGGAUGUAUUCCUUGCUGCCAGGCAAACCUUGCUUCCUGGAUUAUUUGGAGGCAGAGAGGUGCUUUGUCCUUUUCUGGUAACAAUUAAUGACACAAAGGCAAGGUGAAAAGGCGCUGUGCUUUUUUUCUAAUCCACUUGUAUGGAUUUCAGACCAAAUUUUUAAAUAAAUGUACAGGUAAUUAAGUAUCCCUCAAAUUGUAUUGAUGGGCAUGUGUUUGCACAACAAUUACUUUAUGAAGUCCUAGUUUACCUUCCCCUUCCAGACGUAGAUGCCAUGGCACUUGUGUUAAGAUUGGUAAUAUUCUGUGAGCUGUUGGAAACUUCUCGAAUGUGCCCUUUAAUUUAUUUUACUGAAAAAGAAGUUUAUGCCCUGGGAUGUCUCCAUUACAAUGAAAUGAUAUUUUGUUUGUUCAGGCAUAAGUUUUGAAAUUCUGGAGUACCUUGACUGAUAUUUAGUGAACUUUAUAUCUUCAGAUAUUAGCACUUUAAAAACUCAUGUUUGGUGAUAAUCAAAUUUUACAGAACAUGUACCUUAGUAGGAAUUACUCACAUUACAAAAUGACUUUUUACUUUAUGGAUACUCACCACAGUGUUUCUUUAAGUAGAAGGCCCCCAGGGCUCUAAAAUUUGAUUCCUCUAUAAAAGUUUAAAUGUCUGUGGCAAUUUUCAGGAAUGUGUCUAUUAUAUAAAAUGAAAACAAAUUAUCUAAUAAAAUAUUAGUUAUAUUUUAUUUUAAAGAUAGUUACCAAGUUCUCCUCUUCCAAUUCCUCAACAUUUCGGCCCAGAAGUCAUUAGGUGGGCCUGGGCAAGGUAACUGUGUAUGUGGGGAGCGGGGCACUGGGCCAGGGCAGGCCAGCUGGGAUGACUAGGUUUGGGUGGCAGAGCUUGACAGGGAUGAGAUGGGGGUGUGUGGGGAGUGGCAGUAGCUGCCCAACUCAGGGUGUUUGAGCCCGCUUAGAGUGAGGAGAGUGCCCCACUGGGGCUGGGCCUGGUGGUGGCAGUGAAUGAGUGGUUAGUUACAUACAGGAAAAUAGAUCAAAUACCUAAGUAUAUCUGGGAUAACUGGAGCCAGAUUUCUCACUUCAGAGAAAAUAAUUACAAAAAUGGAAAGGAGAAAACCAGAAUGAAUGCUGUGGUGGUAGUUUUGAAUUGGAGUUAUUGGUAUGAGCUCACGGACUUCAGUACGUGCAGACAUAGAAAUAAGUAUAGAUGCAAAUAUGAAUAUAUGUGUACAUAGCUAUAGACUUACAUGUAGUCUCUAGCUCUGUUUGCUGGCGAAGCCUGGGAGCAGCAGCACUCCAGUAGCAGUAAGCACAGCAGACAUCCAGAUCUCGGUUUCUAUAUAUCAUUCUCCCAGAAAGGAACCAGGGCUCCUUGGAGAACUGACCAAUUCCAGGGUCUGGGGAGGGAAAGUACAAAAUAGACCUGAACAUUGUGUUGUGCCAAAAAGUAAGAGAGUGCUCAAAAAUUACAGAGGGCGUUCAGAAGGGCUCACAAGCCAGAUUGAAGGAGUUCCACCAGCAAAUCUGGACAGUAUGAGCACCGAAGUAAAUUUUAAAGUUACCCACCAAAAAAAAUGCAGAUUCAAACUAAGGAAUGAAUCUGUGCCACUGCUAGGAGUGGAACUAAAAAGCCAAGGGUUACCCCUUCAUUGCUUCUAGGCAUCGAAAAUAAUGUAUCACUCCUAAUAUACGUAGUACAAUGCUUUAAUAAUUUUAUCUGAAUAGAAGGCCAUGCUUUCAAAGAAGGCUCCUGCCCUGUAAAACUUUCAUUUCAAGAGAUAAUAGAACAAUAGCCAUGUAUAAAAUACAGCAUUUUCAUUUCAAAUGGAUACUAAGCAUUUCUUGUUUGUGACAGGAACAUUAUUAUUUGGAGUCAGCCAUACUGAUCUAUCUUGCUGUGGUUCAUCUUUCCCUUUUUCAGCAUGAUGCAGCCACUCAUCAGUGCCACUCUGGGAACCUAUAUGUAGAUCCAUAGCUAUUGGAAGGAAAAAGAAACAAUUUUUUAAAACCCUGGAGAAUUAGACUUCUGAUCUAUACUAUAUAUCUAUAAAGGCCUAAUUUUUUUUCAAGGAUACCUAAGUUGAAUAUCUUUUAUUUAUUUUUAUUUUGUUCACAGUUAAUCAUGUAUUUUAUAAUUAGGUGACAAAAAUAUUCAGUAACUUUAUUAUGGGAAAAUACACGAUUAUAAACUUAACAUUUUUUAAAAACUGGAUUAAAAAAUUCACCUGCUCAAUUUGCGUUAAGAUUUAAAAAAUGGCUAGGUGCGUUCCAAGAUGGCCGAAUAGGAACAUUUCCAGUCUACAGCUCCCAGCGUGAGCGAUGCAGAAGACGGGUGAUUUCUGCAUUUCCAACUGAGGUACCGGGUUCAUCUCACUGGGGCUUGUUGGACAGUGGGUGCAGCCCACGGAGUGUGAGCUGAAGCAGGGUGGGGCAUCCCCUCACCUGGGAAGCGCAAGGGAUCAGGGAAUUCCCUUUCCUAGCCAAGGGAAGCCGUCACAGACGGUACCUGGAAAAUCGGGACACUCCCACCCUAAUACUGCGCUUUUCCAACAGUCUUAGCAAACAGCACACCAGGAGAUUAUAUCCCACACCUGGCUCGGGGGUCCCACACCCACGGAGCUUUGCUCAUUGCUAGCACAGCAGUCUGAGAUCGAACUGCAAGAUGGCAACAAGGCUCAGGGAGGGGCGUCUGCCAUUGCUGAGGCUUGAGUAGGUAAACAAAGCAGCCAGGAAGCUCGAACUGGGAGGAGCCCACCGCAGGAGGCCUGCCUGUCUCUGUAGACUCCACCUCUGGGGGCAGGGAAUAGCUGAACAAAAGGCAGCAGAAGCUUUUGCAGACUUAAGUGUCCCUGUCUGACAGCUUUGAAGAGAGUACUGGUUCUCCCAGCACGGAGUUUGAGAUCUGAGAACGGACAGACUGCCUCCUCAAUUGGGUCCCUGACCCCUGAGUAGCCCAACUGGAAGACACCUCCCAGUAGGGGCCGACUGACACCUCAUACAGCAGGGUGCCCCUCUGAGACGAAGCUUCCAGAGGAAGGAUCAGGCAGCAACAUUUGUUGUUCUGCAAUAUUUGCUGUUCUGCAGCCUCCACUGGUGAUACCAAGGCAAACAGGGUCUGGAGUGGACCUCCAGCAAAAUCCAGCAGACCUGCAGCUGAGGGUCCUGACUGUUAGAAGGAAAAGUAACAAACAGAAAGGACAUCCACACCAAAACCCCAUCUGUACGUCACCAUCAUCAAAGACCAAAGGUAGAUAAAACCAAAAAGAUGGGGAGAAACCAGAGCAGAAAAGCUGAAAAUUCUAAAAACCAGAGUGCCUCUUCUCCCCCAAAGGAAUGCAGCUCCUCACCAGCAACAGAACAAAGCUGGACAGUGAAUGACUUUCACGGGUUGACAGAAGUGGGCUUCAGACGAUCGGUAAUAAUAAACUUCUCUGAGCUAAAGGACGAUGUUCAAACCCAUUGCAAAGAUGCUAAAAACCUUGAAAAAAUAUUGGACAAAUGGCUAACCAGAAUAAACAGCCUAGAGAAGACCUUAAAUGACCUGAUGGAGCUGAAAACCAUGGCACGAGAACUGCGUGACGCAUGCAGAAGCUUCAGUAGCUGAUUCAAUCAAGUUGAAGACAGGGUGUCAGUGAUUGAAGAUCAAAUGAAUGAAAUGAAGCGAGAAGAAAAGUUUAGAGAAAAAAGAGUAAAAAGAAACGAACAAAGCCUCCAAGAAAUACAGGACUAUGAAAAGACCAAAUCCAUUUCUGAUUGGUGUACGUGAAAGUGAAGGGGAGAAUGGAACCAAGUUGGGAAACACUCUUCAGGGUAUUAUCCAGGAGAACUUCCCCAACCUAGCAAGGCAGGCCAGCAUUCAAAUUCAUGAAAUACAGAGAAUGCCACAAAGAUACUCCUCUAGAAGAGCAACUCCAAGACACAUGAUUGUCAGAUUCACCAAAGUUGAAAUGAAGGAAAAAAUGUUAAGGGCAGCCAGAGAGAAAGGUCGGGUUACCCACAAAGGGAAGCCCAUCAGACUAACAGCAGAUCUCUCGGCAGAAACCCUACAAGCCAGAAGAGAGUGGGGGCCAAUAUUCAACAUUCUUAAAGAAAAGAGUUUUCAUCCCAGAAUUUCAUAUCCAGCCAAACUAAGCUUCAUAAGUGAAGGAGAAAUAAAAUCCUUUACACACAAGCAAAUGCUGAGAGAUUUUGUGACCACGAGGCCUGCCUUACAAGAGCUCCUGAAGGAAGCACUAAACAUGGAAAGGAACAACUGGUACCAGCCACUGCAAAAACAUGCCAAAUCGUAAAGACCAUUGAUGCUAGGAAGAAACUGCAUCAACUAACAAGCAAAAUAACCAGCUAACAUCACAAUGACAGGAUCAAAUUCACACGUAACAAUAUUAAUGUUAAAUGUAAAUGGGCUAAAUGUUCCAAUUAAAAGACACAGACUGGCAAAUUGGAUAAAGAGUCAAGACCCACCAGUGUGCUGUAUUCAGGAGACCCAUCUCACGUGCAGAGACACACAGAGGCUGAAAAUAAAGGGAUGGAGGAAGGUCUACCAAGCAAAUAGAAAACAACAACAAAAAAAAGGCAGGGGUUGCAAUCCUAGUCUCUGAUAAAACAGACUUUAAACCAACAGAUCAAAAGAGACAAAGAAGGCCAUUACAUAAUGGUAAAGGGAUCAAUUCAACAAGAAGAGCUAACUAUCCUAAAUAUAUAUGCACCCAAUACAAGAGCACUCAGAUUCAUAAAGCAAGUCUUUAGAGACCUACAAAGAGACUUAGACUUCCACACAGUAAAGUGGGGGGACACUUUAAUACCCCACUGUCAACAUUAGACAGAUCAACGAGACAGAAAGUUAACAAGGAUAUCCAGGACUUGAACUCAGCCCUACACCAAGCAGACCUAAUAGACAUCUACAGAACUCUCCACCCCAAUUCAACAGAAUAUACAUUCUUCUCAGCACCACAUCGCACUUAUUCCAAAAUUGAUCACAUAGUUGGAAGUAAAGCACUCCUCAGCAAAUGUAAAAGAACAGAAAUUAUAACAAACUGUCUGUCAGACCACAGGGCAAUCAAAUUAGAACUCAGGAUUAAGAAACUCACUCAGAACUGCUCAACUACAUGGAAACUGAACAACCUGCUCCUGAAUGACUACUGGGUACAUAACGAAAUGAAGGCAGAAAUAAAGAUGUUCUUUGAAACCAACGAGAAUGAAGACACAACAUACCAGAAUCUCUGGGACACAUUUAAAGCAGCGUGUAGAGGGAAGUUUAUAGCACUAAAUGCUCACAAGAGAAAGCAGGAAAGAUGUAAAAUUGACACCCUAACAUCACAAUUAGAAGAACUAGAGAAGCAAAAGCAAACACAUUCAAGAGCUAGCAGAAGGCAAGAAAUAACUUAAGAUCAGAGCAUAACUGAAGGAGACAGAGACGCAAAAAACCCUUCAAUAAAUCAAUGAAUCCAGGAGCUGGUUUUUUUAAAAGAUCAACAAAAUUGAUAGACCGCUAGCAAGACUAAUAAAGAAGAAAAGAGAGAAGAAUCAAAUAGAUGCAAUAAAAAAUGAUAAAGGGGAUAUCACCACUGAUCCCACAGAAAUACAAACCACCAUCAGAGAAUACUGUAAACACCUCUAUUCAAAUAAACUAGAAAAUCUAGAAGAAAUGGAUAAAUUCCUGGACACAUACACCCUCCCAAGACUAAUCCAGGAAGAAGUUGAACCCCUGAAUAGACAAAUAGCAAGCUCUGAAAUUGAGGCAGUAAUUAAUAGCCUACCAACCAAAAAAAGUCCAGGACCAGAAGGAUUCACAGCCAAAUUCUACCAGAGGUACAAAGAGGAGCUGGUACCAUUCCUUCUGAAACUAUUCCAAUCAAUAGAAAAAGAGGGAAUCCUCCCUAACUCAUUUUAUGAGGCCAGCAUCAUCCUGAUGCCAAAGCCUGGCAGAGACACAACAAAAAAAGAGAAUUUUAGACCAAUAUCCCUGAUGAACAUUGAUGCAAAAAUCCUCAAUAAAAUACUGGCAAACCAAAUCAGCAGCACAUCAAAAAGCUUAUCCACCAUGAUCAAGUUGGCUUCAUCCCUGGGAUGCAAGGCUGGUUCAACAUAUGCAAAUCAAUAAAUGUGUUCCAUCAUAUUAGCAGAACCAAAGACAAAAAGCACAUGAUUAUGUCAAUAGAUGCAGAAAAGGCCUUUGACAAAAUUCAACAGCCUUCAUGCUGAAAACUCUCAAUAAACUAGGUGUCAAUGGGACGUAUCUCAAAAUAAUAAGAGCUAUUUAUGACAAACCCCCAGCCAGUAUCAUACUGAAUGGGCAAAAACUGGAAGCAUUCCCUUUGAAAACUGGCACAAGACAAGGAUGCCCUCUCUCACCACUCCUAUUCAACAUAGUGUUGGAAGUUCUGGCCAGGGCAAUCAGGCAGGAGAAAGAAAGAAAGGGUAUUCAAUUAGGAAAAGAGGAAGUCAAAUUGUCCCUGUUUGCAGAUGACAUGAUUGUAUAUUUAGAAAACCCUAUCAUCUCAGCCCAAAAUCUCCUUAAGCUGAAAGCAACUCCAGCAAAGUCUCAGGAUACAAAAUCAGUGUGCAAAAAUCACAAGCAUUCCUAUACCAAUAAGACAAACAGAGAGCCAAAUCAUGAGUAAAGUCCCAUUCACAGUUGCUUCAAAGAGAAUAAAAUACCUAGGAAUCCAACUUACAGGGUAUGUGAAGGACCUCUUCAAGGAGAGCUGCAAACCUCUGCUCAACGAAAUAAAAAAGGACACAAACAAAUGGAAGAACAUUCUAUGCUCAUGGAUAGGAAGAAUCAAUAUCGUGAAAUGGCCAUACUGCCCAAGGUAAUUUAUAGAUUCAGUGCCAUCCCCAUCAAGCUAGCAGUGACUUUCUUCACAGAAUUGGAAAAAACUACUUUAAAGUUCACAUGGAACCGAAAAAAGAGCCCACAUUGCCAAGUCAAUCCUAAGCCAAGAGAACAAAGCUGGAGGCAUCACGCUACCUGACUUCAAACUAUACUACAAGUUUACAGUAACCAAAACAGCUUGGUACUGGUACCAAAACAGAGAUAUAGACCAAUGGAACAGAACAGAGCCCUCAGAAAUAAUACCACACAUCUACAACCAUCUGAUCUUUGACAAACCUGACAAAAACAAGAAAUGGGGAAGGAAUUCCCUAUUUAAUAAAUGGUGCUGGGAAAACUGGCUAGCCAUAUGUAGAAAGCUGAAACUGGAUCCCUUCCUCACAGCUUAUACAAAAAUUAACUCAAGAUGGAUUAAAGACUUAAACGUAAGACCUAAAACCAUAAAAACCCUAGAAGAAAACGUAGGCAAUACCAUUCAUAACAUAGGCAUGGGCAAGGACUUCAUGACUGUAAUACCAAAAGCAAUGGCAACAAAAGCCAAAAUUGACAAAUGGGAUCUCAUUAAACUAAAGAGCUUCUGCACAGCAAAAGAAACUGUCAUCAGAGUGAACAGGCAACCUACAGAAUGGGAGAAAAUUUUUGCAAUCUACCCAUCUGACCAAGGGGUAAUAUCCAGAAUCUACAAAGAACUUAAACAAAUUUAUAAAGGAAUAUUAACCCCAUCAAAAGUGGGCGAAGGACAUGAACAGACACUUCUCAAAAGAAGACAUUUAUGCAGCCAACGGGCACAUGAAAAAAUGCACAUCGUCACUGGCCAUCAGAGAAAUCAAAACUACAAUGAGAUACCAUCUCACACCAGUUAGAAUGGCGAUCAUUAAAAAGUCAGGAAACAACAGGUGCUGGAGAGGAUGUGGAGAAAUAGGAACACUUUGACACUGUUGGUGGGACUGUAAACUAGUUCAACCAUUGUGGGAGACAGUGUGGCCAUUCCUCAAGGAUCUAGAACUAGAAAUACCAUUUGACCCAGCCAUCCCAUUACUGGGUAUAUACCCAAAGGAGUAUGAAUCAUGCUGCUAUAAAGACACAUACACACGUAUGUUUAUUGUGGCACUAUUCACAAUAGCAAAGACCUGGAACCAGCCCAAAUGUCCAUCAGUGAUAGACUGGGUUAAGAAAAUGUGGUACAUAUACACCAUAGAAUACUGUACAGCCACAAAAAAGGAUGAGUUCAUGUCCUUUGUAGGGACAUGGGUGAAGCUGGAAACCAUCAUUCUGAGCAAACUAUCACAAGGACAGAAAACCAAACACCACGUGUUCUCACUCAUAGGUGGGAAUUGAACAAUGAGAACACUUGGACACAGGGUGGGGAACAUCACACACCAGGGCCUGUCGUGGGUUGUGGGGAGGGGUGAGGGAUAGUAUUAGGAAAUAUACCUAAUGUAAAUGAUGAGUUAAUGGGUGCAGCACACCAACAUGGCACAUGUAUACAUAUGAAACAAACCUGCACAUUGUGCACAUGUACCCUAGAACUUAAAGUAUUUUUUAAAAAAAUGUAAAAAGUGAAGCCUGGUGAGGCCUGUGAGUGUAUUUGCGCUAAUCUGUAGGAAAACUGGAAAUGAAGGUGAAGAAGGCAGUGGAGCAUGGAGUUGGUUCCACUUGUGCAUAGCAUGGGGAUGGAGGGCUGGUUGUGGGUGCUGGCAGGGGCUUAAAUUGCCCAAACCUGGUAACAGGGACUAAGAAGUUUGAUCUUCCCAACAGAGCUUUGCAUGGAAGCCUUUUCCUUCCUACUACUUCACUUUCUUUUCUGAGGGUGUUACGUUUGUUUCACAUCUAAGAAAACUAAAACAAGGCUUAGGAAGUAUAUCAGGAAAAAACUGUCAUCUCUACCUCAAAGUUUAGUAUUAGCUUGAUGCAAAAGUAAUUGUGUUUUUCAUAAUUACUUUUAAUGGCAAAAACCACAAUUUCUUUUGCACCAACCUAAUAGUUAAUAUUCCUUUACUAGAACCACCUUAAAAAAAAAGUUAAUACUGUGGUGAAUAAAAUGUUACCUGCUAGAGAAGUAAAUAAUACAAAGGCCUAAAGAAAAAAGAUUAUUAUAACUACAAUGUCAAGAUAUAUCCCCCCAAAAUUUGGGGACUUCCACAGAAAUCUUUGAAAAUGCACAUUGUUCUUAAAGGAACGUGGAGAAACUCAGUCUCAGAACUCUGGCUCACUCCUGUGAACUCCAGUUGACAUCUUGAGCUUUCAUCCUCUCUUCUACACUAACGGGUGGCAUCUUUCUUUGUUGCUCAGGUCACCUUUUAGAGCCAGGCCUAGAGCUGCUGGCCUAACUUUCCUAGUCUCAGACUGCCAGUGAUGCUGUGGUCACCUGUAUGCAGGGGCCAGCCCUGCCAGAGUCAUGCAGUCCAAGCCUGGCCAUCCAGGGCUAUAGUGGUACUAGCAAUACUUGUUUGUAGAACAUGGUGUUUAUGGCAAAUCCGUAUCUUUCAAUUUUAUAGAAGGAUGGAAGAUGGAUAUUUUCAUUUCCUUAUAUUAUUUCCAAUACAUAAGCAUCUAUCCUGCAGAGGAGCUGUCUGCCCAGUUUUCUUGUUGCUCAUCCCUGUUAGUAAACCAUGGGGAAGACAGGGAAGAGAAGGGCAUUUCUGCAUACAUUUAGGUACAAAGGCAUAACCUAGAUGGUGAGGUUAGAUUUCCACUGAGUGGUUUUUGAUUCAAUUUCAUUAUCUAUGUAAAAACAAGGAAUCAAAUUCAUAAAAUAAUUUAACUGUUGGUCCUUGACAUUUUCUUUUGUUUCUCUUUUGGUCCUAGUGGGAUUUCACCUCCCUCCCCACUAUUACUUUUAAAAAAUUAUCACUUUAAAAAUAUGUCAUUUAAAAAAUUUUUGUUUUGAUUUUUUAAAGUUUAACUCUUGUGAAACUAAUAGAAUUUUUAAUUGUUUUUUAAUUUCUAAAUUGACCACUUUUAAUUACUCUAGUAUGUUUCAAAGUAAACAUACUUGGAGUUGAUUUAAAGCACAUGUCGAGAGGUGUGUAUAUACUGGUACCCACAUAGCAUUAUUCUAGCUAUGGCUCUUUGUGCAGAGAUAAGCUGUCAUGUCAUGAAUACCUGGAGGAGGUCUUUAUUCUCAGGUUUUAAUGACACUUUAUGUAAUAACUUUUACAGCAGCUCUAAAGCUGUGAUCUUAGGAUGCUUCUCAGGAGUGAAUGAGAUUCCAGCAUAUCCAGACUUCUAGCUGGCUUUGAGUAUUGUGUGUGUGAUGCAUGCAUAUGCAUGCCUUUAGUCUCAGUCCUGUUUUUGAUAAAUUCAGUAGCUAAAGCGUUUACAGUUCUGAUUCUACUCUCUCUUCUUUUUGCUGACUUUUACUCACGGUGCAUUGGUUUUUGUAUUUUUAUUUUUUUAUUAUGAGUUCAUAUUUCUUGGAAGCCUAUCUGGGGUAAUUCUCUGAGACAGGAGUUAAGGGCAGGUUCCUCCAGAGAGGAGCUGCCUUUGCUUUUCCCAGGUGACUGGAGCCACCACCCUCCCCUUCCCUGGGGAGCAUUGGAAAGUCAACUUUCAACUUGGGGUUUUUUGGACCUCAAGUUAUUUCUGGCCACAAACUUUUAGAAGUGCUGGCUUGUGAUUAUGAAUUCCUGGAGGUGCAUGGAUCUCUCCCUGUUCUAUUUGUACCAAGAUUUGAGAUAGGCAACUUUCUUUGUACUCCGGAGGUGUCAGUUUAAUUGUUUACUUCCAAAUACUGAGGCUGUGGUCCUUUGGGAUGCCCUAUUAGAUGCUCCAUCUUGGGCAGCCCCUGGGCUUUUCCCCCUGCUCCUAGCACUCUCACAACACUGUGGAAAUCAAAGGAAAAUUCUGUCCCCCUUUAGCAAAUGUCCCCUCCUUGCUUCUUGAGAUUCCUGCCCUCACUUAAGCUUUGACUUCUAAUAUUCCUUACUCACCAGUCAGGUCCUAUUUAUUAUUGACCUGUUUUUAACGUUGUAUGCAUUUUUAGUUUUCAGUAUGAGAAUUUAUGUAGAAUUGGUCAGAGUGCCUACUUAGACAAACGCCCAGAAAUGGAAAUCCUCAAUUAAUUACUAAGAAAUCAAUUAAUUAUUUAUUUAGCCUGUCUGCUUUCCACUACAGGGGCUAGGAAGAUUCACAGAAUCCAUGGCAGAAACGCAUCCAGACCUUGCUUAAUAUUCAGUAUUCACUUGUUCAGCAUCCCAUUCUACUCAGACAACUCUAAUUUUUGGAUCUUUCUUUCUUAGGUGGAACUAAAUUAUCUCUUCCAUUAAUUUCUCCCCAUUGUUUAAUAUUCUGUUCUUUGAAGCAACACAGAUGAAUCUCCCUUUCCCAUGUGGCUUCAUGUAUUUUGGGCCUCUUCCAUCCUCCACCACUAAGCUUCCUCUUCCCUCGGUGUCUCUAGCUGCUUCUUGGGCAAUAUGGUUUGAGGUAGAUCUCCAUCCCCAAGCAUCAUAAUUGCUGGUUAUUUCCCUCUAUUUGAUAUCUAGUGUGUCCAUUCCUCAGACACUGCAUGUUCAUAGUUAGACAUACUAUUCCAGAUAUGACCUAACCAUGUCAGAGCAUGUGGACUGACCAGAUACUUCUUUUCAUGUUGUCUGUGUCUUUCUGUGUAGCUCUGUGGCACCAUUCAUUAUGGUUGAUAGAACUAAUAGUCAAUCAGUUCUUAUUUCCCCACUCCCUACUCCUCCUACCCCCAACCCUGAGCUUUUUCAUGCAUACUGUUUUAACUCAGAUCUUAUUCAUCCUCGAAUUAUGGACAAUAUGUCUUUAAAAAAAGAUAAAUGAUGUUGCUGUUAUAUGAUUCUUUUUUAAUGGGCAUAUUAAGGCCCUGAUUUAAUUCUAUUUAUCUUUGCUUAAGAAUAAUUUUCUUGAAUAGAAAAUUAUCUAGAAUCUGAAAAUCUCCUUAGUUGUUUAAAAGCCUACCACUUUGACUUAACCUAUUGUCAGUCAGUUCUGUCUGCAGAAGUUGGUAGGUAUUCAGUUAUAAUUAAUAAUAACCAACUCUGCUGAGUUAAUAUGCCUCUUGCAGUUCUAUUGACUUUUAAAAUAUUAUAUUUUACAGAGGAAUUUCAUUUACUGUCUUUAGGGGAAGAGAUUAAAGUUCUUAAAAUCUCAUUUUACCCAACAUUUGAUGUCAAUUGCUGUUUUAUAUUAACUGCAUUAAUUAGAAUUCCUGCUGAUUUCAGUCUUCUAGUAAUACAUCCAAAAAAUCUAUUAGGUAUAUUUUAGAUUCUUGUCAUAAAUAUUUUUAGGAGGCAGUUCUAGCAGUGGUAAUAGCAGUUGAAGAUGCUUAGGGUUCUUAAUCCAUCUCUCUAAUGAUUUUGCCGCUGUCGUAAUAAAACCCUCAUCCCUCCGUGCUCUUAAGUAACUUUUGUUGGGUUUCCUGACUUUUGACGGAAGGGUUCACUAGGUUGUGUAGACUUACUGUGAUUUUAUUUGUAAUAAGGUUUGUUCUAAAUUUCAGGCACUGAAUUUGGAGUAAAAUUAAUUCAUUACUAAGAUAGUUCAUGAAACUAAUUGUACAGAGACACGAAGCUUGUAUCUAAAAGCCAGGUGAGUGGCAGAUUCCGGGCCCACGAACAUAUUUGACAGAGAUGUUUAACCAGGAGGAUUUGUGGGUUAAAGUUAUCUUAAGGUUGACAUGAAGGGAUUUGUUCAGUGAACUAGAAAAACAAUACUUUUCUAGAGAUAAAAGAGGUUAGAAGAGUAACAGGGAGGAAGGUAGCUGAAAACUUCCUUAAUGUGAUUAAACCAACUCAAGCAGUAAAUUAAACAUACUUUAUUGUUAAUGUUGAAAAAUGUUUAUUUCAUUGGGUUUGAUUAGAAGCAUGAAUUAAUUCUAAAUGUUAUCACAUUUUUCAGAGAGGCCUUUUUAUGCUAAUUAUGUGUUAGUGAACUGGAGAUCUUAAAGUAUAAAUUCAUCUUUGUAAAAGGGCUACAAUAAUGAAAAACAUUAAUUAUUAAACCACAAAUGAUAUUUAUUGCCUGUCUUGCUCUCUGCAUUUUCAAAAGUGCAAAACAGUUGCCUUUGUGAGUUUUAAAUAGUCUAGAAAGUCUAGAAAGAUGAAUAUGUGUUCAUUCUUUGGAAUUGAAAAUAGGGAAAUAGUCCUCAAGAAGAGGCUAUCUUAGAAUAUCUGCUUUUAAAAAUUCCUGGACUUUCCAAGAGAAUGUCUCCUAACUUUGACUUACUAUCAGUUAUUUGAGUUUGAUAGUCCUACCAACAUAUGAGAACUGAUUUUUUAGAGUAAGUAGGUAUGUUGUAUAAUGCACUAUUUGUUUAAGCAUGCUCUUCUAGACCUUUAUUUUUAAACCUGCCCUUAUUAAUACUAAUUACAACAUAUUUGUAAGGUAUUUUCCUGUUUCUAUUCUCGUUUGAUUUCCACAAGAGCUCUGAGUGGCAAACAGAGUAAGCCUCGUGUUUAUCCUGUUUGUGGAUAUGCAUACAGACUAGACUGGAGCCCAGGUCUUCUGAGUUCAGUGCCCUGUGGUCCUUCCCCAAGCCCCGUGCACUUGUGAAGGGACACGACCCCUCAAAGCACUGGUGAUUUGGGAAGUCCUAUAGAGAAGCAGUGAGAGCACAGAGCUCAGGGGGAGUCGUGGCUGUUGUGUGACUUUCAGCAAAUUCCCGGAGUCUACAUUUUUUCAUCCAUAAUCAACUCUUAGUUACAUUUAUUGAUAGAAAUGACAAGGAGGAUGGAUAAUGUGAAGUAGACAAUGAAAGAAAUAAUCUAUCAGUAGCAGAAAAGAGUAGGAUUUGGAGAUGAAGACCCAGGUUCAAACUCAGCCUCCCCUGCUGGUGAGCCAACAAUGGCAACAAGUCACUGACCCCUCUGGAACUUCCAGUCCCUUAUUCAUUAAGAUAUUUGGGCCAGAUCAUGAAGGCCUGAUAAGCUGUGUUGAGUUUGAAAUGUUGUUUCAAGGGCAGUGAGACAACACAGAAGUAGUUUCAGCAGGGAUGUGUGACACGAUCAGAUUUGUGUUUUAGCACUGCCACUCGGGUGCAGUGUGGAGGGGAAGACUGGAGGGCAGGAGACCUGUUAGGAUAGGAGGCUGUUAGGGUAUCCUGGGGCGAGACGAUUGGGGGCCUGACGGUGGAGCAGGAGAGAAGGGGAUGGACUCCAGAGAUGCGUAGGAGGUAGAAAUGACCAACUGGGUAAAUGAUUGGAUGUGGGGCUUAAGGAAAGGGCGGCAACAAGGAUGAUGCCAAAAGUGAAAGAGUGAACUGGAUUACAGACAAGGUUGUGUUAGUGAUGUUAGCAAGAAUAGUUUCGCUGGAGUUACGGGGGUGAAUUGCCAUAUUUUAGAUGGUUGGUGAGUGAGGGGGUAACGAAAUGGAGACAGUACAGGAAGGCUACUCUUUCAAGGAGUUUGGCUGUGUUAGUCUGUAGUGGUAAGUGGAAGGAGAUGAGGAGCAAGAGGAGAUCUUUAAGACAGGCCAUGUUUGAAUGCCAACCUAAGAAGCCAGUGAAGAGGAAACGGAGUAGCUCUAGAAGAGGGGACUAGGGGGUAAAGAGAUGCUGAUGCUCAGGCUCAGGUGGAAUGCUAGCUUUGGAUGGAUGUGGGUCCCCAAGGCAGAGUAGCUGUGGGGAGGAGCUUAAGGCUGAAGCCUGGAUACUUGGAUUUGGAUCCUGCCCCCAUCUGAUUAGACCCAGUUGCCUUCUCUGUAAAGUGGGUCACUAAGAACAAUAUGACAUUAUGACCAUGUUUGUUUUUCCCUGUAUUCCACUGCAUUAUCUUUAUACAUAUUUCCUUAAAAUAACGAGAAAGCAAGAACCCAUGGGGAUUUUUCAAAGUGAAAAUCCCUGUGCUGAGUAGUGAGAUCUUGGCAGUCUCCCGUUGCUUGGCUCCUGGAACACUGGAAACUGGACCAGUAUCAUCCCCAGGAGGUUUGAGUAUUCUUCUCUGAGGAAAUCAACCACAUGGAGAGAAAAAGACCUUACAGAUAGCAAAGGGUAAGGAUUCUGCUCCCUCCAGUAAAAUGAAUGGGACUCCCAAUAACCCAGUGUUAGGCCUGCAAGAAAGAACUCCUGAAAACUAAAAUUUAGUAACAAAAGAUUAAAGCAACUCUUAAGAUUAAAAAAAUCCCUCAAAAAGUAGAACAAUUAGGGGGGGAAAAGAAUAUUUGGGAAAUUUGGGAAUCAAUUCAGGAAGUCUGACACACAACUAAUAUGAGUUACAAAGGUAGUAGUGGGCAGAAAGUUAUAGAGAAGUAAUUCAUGAAAUUGAUGUACCUCCAGAUAGAAAGGGUGCAGCAAGUACAGGAGUGUUUUGCCUUUUAUUCUACCUGUAUUGCCGAGGGCCUACCAGAGGACAGGCUGUGUCCAGUGCACUAGAGGCACAGGAGUUGGGGGGAAGCAGACAAAAACCCGUGCCAUUGUGGAGUAUAUAUUCUGUUGGAAUUACAUUAACAAUUUUUUAAAAUGACUCACACCAGGGCACUUUAUUGUGAAAUUUCAGAACACCAGGGAUAAAGGGGAGAUAGUAAAAAUAUCCAGAGAGGGGAAAAUGAGGUUUGAUUUAAACGAUCGGGAAUCAAAUAGCAUUGGAAUUCCUAAUGAUAAAGCUGCACGCUACUUUUGAGGGGAAAUGAGUAAAUGAGUUCCAGCCUGGUUCUGUGCUUAGCCCAACAGUCAAGUACAAGAGUAGAACUAAGACAUUUUAGAUCCAUAAGGACUAAAAUAAACUAUUUAGCUGCUAUAAGGAUAUACUCCACUAAAAUGAGGGAGCAAAAUAAAGAGGAAGACAAGUGAUGAAGGAAACGAGAUCCAGCACAAGAAGGCAGCAAAGGGAAUUCCCAGGAUGGUGAGAGGCACAGAGCUCUGUAAUGGCCUAGCAAUCAGCUGCCAGGUAGGCAGAGGCCUGUGGAAGGAAUGGCUGUGUGCGAGGGGUCCAGGGAACUGGAGGACCAACUGAGUAGCCACUUCAUGGGUUCUGUACAGAGGAUUUUAUAGUUGUGUCAGAAGGUUUGGGCAUGCAUUAGCAAUAGGAAAGUAGAAAACCAAGAGACUAUGAACAAAGUUAUAAUUCCAAGAGAAACAGAGUUAUUGAGAAAGGAAAUACACUCAUAGUGCACUACAGACUGCUGUGAGCAUUACAUACCAUAGUCGUAGCCAUGAAAACAGUGACUAUCAAUUGAAAGCAAAAUUAUUUUAUAUUAGCAGCAUGGGGGAGGAGAGUCUGUGUGAGGAAGCUAAAGUCUCAUCAUGUAAAAUAGGAGGUCAAAAGUAACAUGUAAUCAAAAAGAACUAAAAGUAGAACUGCCAUUUGAUCCAGCAACCCCAUUACUGGGCAUCUACCCAAAGAAAAAGAAGUCAUUCUAUGAAAAAGACACUUGCACAUGCAUGUUUAGAGCGGCACAACUUGCAAUUGCAAAAAUGUGGAACCAGCCUAAAUGUCCAUCAAUCAAUGAGUGGAUAAAGAAAAUGUGGUAUAUAUACACACCAUGGAAUACUACUCAGCCAUAAAAAGGAACAAAAUGAAGACAUUUGCAGCAACUUGGAUGGAGCUGGAGACCAUUAUUCUAAGUGAAGUAACUCAGGAAUGGAAAACCAAUUAUCGUAUGUUCUCAGUUGUAAGUGGGAGCUCAGCUAUGAGGACCCAAAUGCAUAUGAAGGAUGUAAUGGACUUUGGGGAUUCAGGGGGGAAGAGAGAAAGGGGGUGAAGGAUAAAAGACUACACAUUGGGUACAGUAUACACUGCCCAGGUGAUGGGUGCACCACAAUCUCAGAAAUCACCACUAAAGAGCUUAUCCAUGUAACCAAACACCACCUGUUCUCCAAAAACUAUUGAAGCUGAAUAAAUAUAUUUCUAAUUUCCUUUUUAUGAAUCCUUUCAUCUGUGGCUUAUUUUAAAGUAUCUAAUUUGAUUUCCAAAUAUUUGCGAGUUUUCUAGAUGUCUGUCUGGUUGAUUUCUAAUCCAUUGAUUAGAAACAGAGAACAACAACAGAAAGAAGAAAAUAAAGGGAGUAACUUGGUAGGUCAUGUAACACAGAACCAACCUGCCAGGGGAAUGUGUGAUUCCCCCUUGACAUAAGAUGCAGGAUGGCAGCCCUCACUUGGGAGUGUGACUUUUGAGAGCCUCCAGCUGUUGACAUCUCUAAGCAGAUUCCAGCUGUGAGGGGGUUGGGAUGACGUUAUUGCAGUGAGGCCCCUGAUGGAGCUAACAGGCACUGAUCUCUGCAGGCUUUCUCCUUGUUUGAGAGGGUUUAGAGCAUGAGAAGAGCCUGGCCCCAGUUCCUGGCACUUUGUGAUCUUGGGCAAGUGAAGUCACAACUCAGUUUCUCUAUCUGUGAAAUGGGGAUAAUACUACCUCCUUCUAAGGUUGUUAUGAAGAGUAAAUCAGUUAAGGUAAUUGAAAUCUUUCAAAUAGUGCAUGGCACAUAGUAAGCAUACUGGGGUUUGUUAUUUGUUUACUUUUGUUAACCUUUGCCUUUUUGGGUCAUUAUUAUUGUGUUGUUUUCUUUAUCCAGUUCACAAGAAUGGAUCAGUACUUCAGAAGUGGUUCUUUGAAGUAUAAAAGGAGUGACAAAAAUAAGAAAAACUACAGCUCAAAAUAACAUAAGCAUAAAUAGUGAAUGGAAACCCAGUGUCAUUAUAAAAUGUGAAUCUUAACAUCCAGGGACCAGUUAAUCUGCCGGGUUGAUAAUUUUACUCAAGUCACAGAAAAAGAAAAAUUGUAAAUAGAAAGUAUCAUAAUGACUUUCUGAAAACUGAAUUUUACUUGGGAGGUGAUUUAUUUGUCCGUGGUCUCCAGUCCUUUCUCUGUUAUGAAACUUUGUCAAACAGGGGCAUAAAACCCCCAAUGCUUUUGAGUCAUUUUCAGACAGAGUACAGUGGCCUCUCCAGUAAACCGGUUGAGUCUUCCCAGAUCAAGUACAAAAUAGUGUUUUCCAGGGUGAAAUUGAUGAAUUUUGUUACUAAGGACCCACAAUAUAGAACAAAACCUCAGAGGCAUCAUUCAUAGUUACAUUCAUCCUAGCAAAAGUAGAUUUGCUGAGAAAUUUGCAUCAGCCUCAAAACUGAUGGCAAACAUAUUCAAAAGGAAAGAGGAACAAGCUUUUGGCAAAAUCGUUGAUCAAAUACUGUGUUGCAUGUGACAUAAUAUCAGGGGUAUGCAAUGUGGAAGAGCAGUCAUGUGUGAAUGAAUAUUUCACUUUAUAGUUUGUUGAAUUCACUGUGUAGAAUAUGAAUCAGUCCUUAGAAUAUGUCUAACACAUGAGGGAGAAAUGUUCAGUGACUUUCUGUAAUUUUUGUCGUUGAAACCCUUCGCUUCAGGAGAGAUUCUUUUUGUUGUUUAUUUGGAAGGCACUGAUAACGAACAAAAGGUUCCCAGACAUUCCUAAUGACAGGGCACCAGCUGAGUAGGCAGCAAGGAAGAUGCCACUCUGCUAAUGCUCGUCCUCCCUCCACUUCUUCCACCAAGAGCAGGAUGAAAACUCCAUCACUGAAUGUGUAUUUUCCACUGGGCUGUGUAAAUAGAUUCUCAGCAAUUAAAUAGCUCAGCUUUUCUCCAUUGAGUUGUGCUAGCUGCUGAGGAGAUCUUUUUGGAAUAAGGUAUGAAAUAAAAUAUUUCUUCAUGGUCUUGAUGUGAGUAAAGACCAUGUCUGUGAUAAUCAGUUGGCUUAGACAGAUGGCAUAUUGCAUAGGCUUUUCUCUUUUCAGACUGAAUCUGUCUCUUCCUGGUCAAUGACAGAAAUAAGAAAUAGAAUUUUUUAAAACUGGAUAAUACUGCUGAGACUGGAUCACUAAGAUCUGACUGUUUACUAGCAUGUAUGAUUUUCAUCAAGGAAGCAUAAAUGUUGGGCAUAUGUAACAACUGGAGGUAAAUAUAAGCAAUAAAUGAGUGAAGAAUGUAUUUCCCACUUCUCUUAAUUCGAAACAUUGCAUCUCCCAGCCUUAAAGGAUAACUUAGGUUUCCAAUAAAUUCCAAGCGAGGCGUUUAGUAAAUUUUUCCAUAAUAUCUGGGUUCAUCCUUGGUGGAAAUAUCUGUACUCCUUAGUAGAACAAAACACUUUGGCAACAGUUACCAACAGUCUGUACAGUGCAUGAGUUGUGAUUUUCUAAUUGAUGUAAAUGAAAAUAUAUUAAUUAAUUAGCUUAGAUGUGGAACCAGAAUAUUACUCAAGCUAAAUGUGUCAUUGAACCCAAAUGAAAGAUUGUGCUGAUAUGGAAUACUUAAAAUUAAUUUAAAAAUAUAUUUUAUCAAUAUUUUUCUAAAACAUGUAAAACCAUGUAUGAUAAACAUGUAAAAAUUAUUAAUUUUACAAUAAAUUAUCUAUCUGCAUGUCUACAAUAUGCCCAUUAAGUGAAUUCCUAGUUGGCAAAAUUUGGAAUAUACGUCUUAAGGGUCGGAGAGUUGUUAUUCUGGCCUGGUGUUUAUGUGAUUCUAUACAGGCAAAUUUUCUUUCCUUGGGAACUGUUUCUUCAUCUAUAAAAAUGAGAAUAGCCAGAUAGUUUUACUAGUCAAAAUAGCAAUACUACAACUCUCUGUCCACAGGUUCUGCAUCUGCAGAUCCAACAAACUGAGGAUCACAAAUAUUUGGGAAAAAUAACAAUACAACAAAAAAUAAUACAAAUUUUGUAUUGUAUAUCAAUAAGCAUAACAGCUAUUAACAUAGCAUUGGCAUUGUUUUAGAUGUUGUAAGUAAUCUAGAGAGGAUUUAAAGUAUAUGGGAGGAUGUAUUAAUACAUAUAUUAUAUGCAAAUACUAUACCAAUUUAUGUAAGAGACUUGAGCAUCCUCAGAUUUUGGUAUCUGCAGGAGUCCUGGAACCAGUCCACCAUGGACACUGAAAGAUGACUGUAGCUACUAAACUAAUAGACUUUUUGAACUGCAGAGUGCCUUUGAAUGCCAUAGAUCAUAUAAAUCUUAAAGUUACAGGAGAGUUCAGGAGUAAUCUACUUUAUCCUUCCUCUGCAAGCAUGGAUCUCCUCUGGAGUGCACCUGGUGCGUUCUCCAUGUACUUUCUCUCAUGGGGCAAACAGAGGUUGUAAAGCUUGCUAUGACUUGACUAGAAUAACAACUCCAUUACUGGGCAACUUGGUACCAUUUUCAACAGCUGUAACUGUUACAAGGUUUAUAUAUUUACACUCAAAUCUGAUCCCCCUUCCCUUUAACUGUAACUUUUAUACCUUGGUUUUGAUUCUGUCCAUCACAGCCAAACAGAAAAAGUCAACAUUUUCUCUAAUGUUAAUAACUACUUAAGCUGCUAAUCUUCCCCUAAGACAUCACUUCCAGGGCAAGUUGCACUAAUUCUUUCAGCCCUUCCUCUUGUGUUUCCCAUGUCCUUCUCCUUUCUGGCCUCUCCGAGCCUCUGCAUUUGAGUGCUCUUCAGGACAAGUGUGGUCUACCUGUAUUGAUUAGAGUGAUUUUUUUGUGUUGUUUCUCUGUUAAAAGCAGUGUUUACGGACGUAGGCCAACUGUGUACUAGGAAGUAUGGGCUUGACAUGGUUAUGCAUUACUUUAUUUAACCCAUAUUACUUUGCAAAUAGUUUUGAUUAUCUGUAGUACGCUGGGAAACUAAGACUCAAAAGUUAAGUAAAUUGUUCAAGGUAAUUUACCUAGGAAGUAUCAGCGCUGUGUCUCCUAUCCCAUUUAAUUAUUCCAUCAUACAUUGUCUUAUAUUGUGCAAUUUUUCUCAUACUUACUAUCUUGGCCACGUUUCCUUUUUAGAAUUUAAGAAAUAUUACAUUCUUCUGAAAAACCUUUAAACUAUACAGAAAUAUAUAAGAAAAACCUUCUCCACCCCAGUAACCAUGUGGUAGUGUGAUACGAGGGUACCUUUUUACAUUGUUGGUCUACUGCUUACUUUCUGUACCUAAAUAAAAUACAGAGAUACGAAUGUGUACCUGUGUCUCUGAAAAGAUUGAGUUAAUAAAUAUAAUGGACCUGUAGAAUUGUGUCUGGUACACAGCAAGUGCUCAAAUGUUGCUAUUAUAUGUACAAACACAUACAUAAUGUGUGUAUGAAAAUCAACAUACACACAUGGAAUUCUUUCAAAACCAAAACAGGAAUGGGAACAGUCUCUGUAUACAAUGCUUAAACUACUUUUAUCACCCAAGAUUUAUCGUGUAUAUUCUUCCGAUUAUUAUUUCAGUCAACUGUAGUUUUUCUUUUUGUUGCUACAAAGUAUACUCUAUCCCCUUAAUUUAUUUAGCUGUCCGCUUAUGGAUGGAUGUUUAGGUUGUCUCCAUGCUGUUAGAAAUAGUGGUGCAGGGGACUGCUUGAGCAUAGAUCUUUAUUCAUGAGAGUUGAUUGUCUGAACCUACACAUAUAAAUGUACAUUUAUCACUUUAAAAAUGCCUUAUCUUGUUAUAUUUGGCCUGUUUUUAUAAUGUAGUCAUUGGGUAGAUUUUGACCCUGUCAUCAGUGGAUUCACUGUCUUUGGUAUUGCUUCAUUUUAAAAAUUGUGAUCAACCUACUUUCGUUAACAUCUUGAAAAUCAUGGAUUAACACAAGACAGAAUUCUGUAGUUGCCACCAGAGGGCUCCUGUUAUGUUGAAACUGAUUUUAUAGGUAUAAUCAUUCACCCAGGUAUAAAUCUACUUUGGGUAUUAUCUUCUAACUAUAUUUCUCCAUUGUAUGUAUAGAAAUGUCGAGACAGACCUUGUCAGAUGCCUUCAUGGAGUCUUGUUAAGAAAGUAGUCAUUUAGUGAGUAAUCUUUGCUACUCAGUCUGGAAGGAUGACACUAUAUUCUAUAUUUGGAGAAACUUGAAAUAUAAACGACAGAUGUCUAUACUUUGGAAAGUGUCUGAAAAAUGUCUAAAAAUGCCCACUGUUUUAUUGCCAAGAGAAGGAAAAGUGUCAGUGCUAUUUUGAUUUCGUUAGGCUAGCUGCCACGUAACUGGCUCCAGUGUUGAUGCUCCAUUUGGCAAUUUUUUAGCAAGAUCAGAUUGAAUAUAAUCAGUUAAACUAUAUUUUCAGAAUAUUUGGGUUGAUUUAAACCAUUAAAAGUAGUUGCCUAAAUGUGAAAUACAGUCCAAAAAUAAUUUUCAGCGUCUACCAUGCUGCUAUUAUGCAACGAACAUGUCAUAUGAGCCGACCAAAUAUGUGGCUUCUUUGAGCAUAGUAAAUAAUGAGAACAUUAAGUUUCACGCACAUUUUAAUUUAUUCUUUAACUUUUUAAGAUCAAGAACUCUGAAGUGAGAGAAUACAGAUCAUUAUUCCCUUUUUUUUUUUUUUUAUCUGAAAGAAUUGAAGCACAGGGAAUUAAAACAGCCCAGAAAAAGGAGCGAUUCAUCCCGAUCAUCAGGAGAGUCAGGGAAAGCUUCACACAAGAGGUGGCUUACCGUUCUGCUGAGGGUGACUGUCAGAAGGAGCAUCCAGGCUGGCAGGGAGCCUUGGUGGAGAGGCACAGGAGAACAUGGAGGGUUGGGAAGCAGAAGGAAGGCAUGCAGGAGCAUGGAUGGGGAGGCUGACCUGAAGGGUGCCAUGAGGAGGCCGGAUCCUGGAGUCUUGAAUUCCAGGCCCAGGAAUUUGGCCUUGAAUCUGGAACAUGAGAAGCCGGUUGGGAGGUGUAGAGAAAAGGGGUGACUCUAAUCAGGCUCAGGCACAGAGGAGACACCGAGAGGGCUGUUGCUGCUCCUUAGUAUUCUGGGGCUUGGCUGUUGAAAACCCUCCCCGGGGGUUGCUGAAUGCCAUGAGAAGGGCAGUCCAUGUGCUGCGGCUGCUCCUGCCAUGCCACUUGGAGAGGAUAUCACGUUUCUUCUUAGGAAGUCUCAGGGAAGCAGGGUUAAUGGUCAUUUCAAAAAGUAAAAUGCACAUCUUCUCUCCCAGUUUGUGUCCAGUUUUGGUGUUUGUGUUUCCGUUGGGCCUUUCCCACAAAGGUUUGAGUACUGUUAACAGGUAAUCCCUGUAUUAGUGGUGCCGUGAAUUGGCCAUGGGAUAUAGAUUAUGUGAUGCUCAGAAGUGUGUAUUGGCUUCAAAAGAUUGAUGCAGGUCUCUUUUAGUUUCCAAAAAUUCACAUAUGAGAAUUCUAAGCUUAAGGAAUUAACAUCCACUAAAAUUCAAGCAGUAUUGAGCAUUUACUCUGUGCCAGGCAGGCAUAGGGGUGGGAGAGAAGAAAAGUAAGGCCCUGUGCCCUGGGCAUUAAUGGUUCCCUCUUUCAUUUAACAUCCUUUACAUAUAUCAUGCAUUUGCCCAUCCACCCUCAUCACAUGGUUGGUUAUUCUUAUUUACAUGUUUGUCGACAUCAGUGUGAAAGCCUCUCCUCCCCCAGAUAACGUUUUCCCUCCUGUUUAAAUCCUGCAGCCUCAGCAUCCCCGCCAAAGACCACUUCCUCCUCCAUUCAACUCUUCCAAGGUGCAGUCAGUUUAAUUCAACGGAUAUUUCUGGGACUAUUAGGUGCAGAGUCCCAUGUGAGUAUCUAAGGGACAAGAACUGUCCUUUGUAACCGCAGUACUGAGCAUGCUCCAGGUGUGUCUCAUGAACAAGGAAGGGCUUGUGUUCCCCUGAGGAGGCAAUGUGGGAAUACACACAAGGAGUUACACAGCAUUUGGGGCAGCAAGUAGCUGACAAAAUGUGUGGCUCGUGUGUUCAGCUCUGUGGGAACUCAGGUUAGAGACUGAGAGUGACUGACAGCAGGAGUGUGUCUCUCACUGCUCUGUCCCAUCGAUGUGUGCCCUGACUCAAUCACUGAAUAAAGGAUCACACAUGCCUAGCAUGCGUCAUGCGAAUCUUGAUGUCAGUGAAAUAUUUUUGAGGUGGGGAGAGCAUUCUUGGGAGAUCUGUUUGACUUUUGUGCACAGACUAGAUCAGAAAAGUGUUUCACACAGGGAGCAAGAUCAGUGCUCUCUCGUGUUCUCUAAGGGGCAGAAGUCCCCUUUGCCUGUAGGUUUUGGAAUGCCCUAUCCUCCUUACUGAGGAUGCUCCAAAUGGGGCUGUAUCCUCUCCCUCUGGUAAUGCCAUGUUUUCUGCCCAAACUUUGACUUCAAGCUUAUUUCCAAAAGCCAUCAGCACUGGCUGGACCUGUGGAGCACUGCCUGAUGCACUGACGGUUCCUACUGAGAGCUUGGGCCACACUGGAAACAUUUCCAUUUGUUGAUGGGGGUGAGAUUUCAGCCAGAUAAGUCAAUACUAGAAGUUAUAUGGUGGCUUAGAUGAGGUUUUCUAGAAGCAAAGUGUAUUAGUUAGGGUUCUCUAAUGGGACAGAACUAAUAGGAUAGAUGAAUAGAUGAAAGGGAGUUUAUUAGGGGAAUUGACUCACAUAAUCACAAGGUGAAGUCCCACAAUAGGCCAUCUGCAAGCUGAGGAGCAAGGAAGCCAGUCUGAGUCCCAAAACCUCAAAAGUAAGGAAGCCGACAGUGCAGCCUUCAGUCUGUGACCAAAUGCUGUAGAGCCUCUGGCAAACCACUGAUGUAAGUCCAAGAGUCCAUAAGCUGAAGAACUCGGAGUCUGAUGUUCGAGGGCAGGAAGCAUGCGGCAUGGUAGAAAUAUGAAGACUAGAAGACUCAACAAGUCUCCUCAUUCCACUUUCUUCUGCCUGCAUUAUUCUAGCUGCACUGGCAGCUGAUUAGAUGGGCCCAUCCAGAUUGAGAGUGGGUCUGCCUCUCUCAGUCCGCUGACUCAAAUGUUAAUCUCCUUUGGCGACACCCUCACAGGCACCCACCGAACAAUACUUUGCAUCCUUCAGUCAAGUUCACACUCAGUAUUAACCAUCACAGAAAGCCUGUGCAAGUGAUUUACUGAAGAAGUACUGUCAGGAGAAACCAGGAAGGAGGUGAGGGAAGCAAGUGAAAGCAAGGGAAGAAGCUGGGAAAAAGUGCUCUUAGCCCAAGUCUAGCCUCAGCCUGACCCCCUGGGGAGCUCUGAGGCCACAUAGCCACCCCACGUUGAGCAGGGGCUCAGCCCUCUUUCCUUGGUUCUGAGCUACAGGCCGCCCCUGGGGGCACCAUCUCCCAGGCAUUUCUGGACUAAGUGGGCCAAAGAAAGUUCUCUGGAGAAGGGUUUUUCUGUGAGCUAUUAGUAGCCAGCACUCAGCUGCUCACAGCGGGCAGCAGGAGCUCAGCCUGGGAGGGCCAUCGGCAGAGGCUCCUUCAGAGCCAAGUUGACAUUGUUACUUCUUCUGCCUCCUUCCAUUCACAGAUGCAAUUAUCCUCCUAGGAAGAUAGUAGCAUAAUAUUUGUGUAGCACUUUGAACUUAAAAAGCCAAGCUUAUUUUCUUAUUUUGUUUUAUCCCUGCAACAAUCCUGUAAGGCGAGCAGGGUAGUUGCUGAGUCUUUACAGUCAAGUGUUCUAGUACGCGAAGCUUAAAUGACUUAAGAUCAAGCAGCCGUAGUUUCUGCUGAGUAUUCUGUUUGAUCCUUGCAGCAGUUCGUUAUUGUUACCCUGUUGGUUGAUUGUUGUGAUGCAGGGAGGUGGAGUGACACACUUGUGUGCUCAUGGUUGGUAUGUAGUGCACUUGUAAUUGUGAGCCCGUUUGAUUCCACACCCUGUUUCAGUCUCGUCAUACCCUGCAGCCUCUGCAAUUGGUAAGCAAAAUCAAGUCCAAAACCCAAGUUUUUGACACGAACUACUCUUGGAAAGAGGCUGCUAAGCAUAAAUGUUGGGGGACAUUAGAUCUAAAAUGUUAGCUGUGCUAAUUAUUUAAAGCUAGCAUAGCAUAGCAUAUCAGGACAAGUUGUUAAAGCUUCACAUCAAGAGUAGUCACUUGGGAUGUUUUAGCUAUUCAAUUUGUAUUCAUCUUGGAUUCUUAUCUAGAUUGACAUGACAGCUUGAGGUGCCAAACGUAUACACCGUAAUUCUUUUUUUUAAUAGUGAAGCAUAAAUGGAUUAUGAUGUAGGACUUUGAGAAUUGUUAUUAGGUGAGUUUGACAAUAACACAGGGUAAUAAUGUCUCAGACACCUAGGAUACUUGGGAGAAUAGGGUAUUCUGCUUCAAUAAUUUGUUUGUUCAGCAAACACUGAGUGCUCUCUGUACCAGAAAUUGUGCAGUAAGGAGGUAACAAUUCAUAGUCAAGUAAAUAUAGUUGUCAUAGCCUAGGGUAAGGGUGCUAUAACAGUAGCCAGACUUGAUAAAAAGGAGUUUAGGCCUUUAAAAUUAUUUUCAUAGCUAAUGGUAGCACACUCCUGUUUUAGAGUAAGAUUUCCCAAAGCAGAGGUGUUCCUAUACCUUGUUCAUUAAUA